rnacentral:lncRNA from 1 species
UUUCAUAUUCUUCCAUACGAAUAUAAUCAAAUCUACUAGUCAACAUCUGUAAUUUUUGAAACUUUACCAAGCUUGUACCCUCAUGUGUAACUUAUAAAGUGUCCCAAAUUUUUUUGGCGGUUUCACACGCCGAAACUCGAGAAAAUGGUUUGAUUCAAAGUAUUGAACAAAGCAUUGAUACCCUUCCUAUUGAACGAAGAUAGUUCAUUUUCCUCUUUCGUCCACUGGUUUCUAGGUUUGGGACCCGUAACAUUAUCGACUACUUCGGUAGGAUGUUUCCAUCCGAAUUCAAUUGCUUGCCAAACCCUCUCAUCAAUGGUAAUAAGAAACGCUCUCAUUCGAACUUUCCAAUAAGCGUAAUUAGUGCCAUCAAAGAGAUGGGGUCGAUUAAUGUUACCUCCCUCGGCCAUAGUUUACAACCUAUACCCGCUCUGAUACCACUUAUAAGAUAUGGAUCCCAAAGAUCUAAAAGGUAAAUAACACCUAGAGGGGGGGUGAAUAGGUGUAAACGGCAAAAUCAAAACUCCCGAUGCAAAUAUAAAGUAAAAGCGAAAAUCAAAAAACAACACACCGAGAUUUAACGUGGGAAAACUCCAAUUUGGAGAAAAACCCACGGGACCGAUCAUGCGAAAAAUCCACUAUAGAAACAAUUGAGUAUAAGUGAUUUACCGAAAAUACAUGACUCAAUUUACCGAAUUCUCGAUGUAGAUUAUCUUCAUUGGUCCUCGAUCGAUCAAAGUCCUUCGAUCGAUCCCGCCGCAAAUCCUUGCAGCGUCAACACCUCGACUCCUCGAUGCGUCCACCGAAUCCUCGGCCUCAUGCGCAAUCCCCGCGCAAAUCCUCCAUCCCGAGCUCGUAGAGAAGAUAAUUUGUGGUGACUGAAACUUAGAAAACCAUAAGCUAUGAAGAAUUCCCUUUUAGUCAAUCAUCAACUUGAUUCUCAAAGGAACAUUCAAAUUAUAAACCUAAGAAUCAAGUCGUCGAUCAACAAUUCGAAACUUGCUUUAAGAAUAGAAUCAUAAAGCUCAAAAACAAGUUUCUAGGGUUUCAUAAAGGUCUAAACUCCAAAGCCUCUAUCAUAAUGUAACCCCCAUAACUUAUUUAUAGAUUUAGAAGACUUAGAAGUAGACUAGGAUUGCAAAAAGUCAUUUUUGGAAACAAUUACGGUUACAGGGUUCGGUCCUCCCGAGGGGUCCGGUCUCUUAGGGUCCGGUCCUUCAAGCCAGGGACCGGUCCCUCGUUGCGUAGCAGAAAACACAUGCCAUGGGAACCGGUCUCUCAUCUCAAGGACCGGUCUCUUGUUGCGUAGCUGAAAAAACCCUGCUACGGGGACCGGUCUUCAUUCCAAAGACCGGUCUCUCUCUGCAUAACCAAAAAGCUUUGCGUACGGGAACCGGUCCUCAAUUCAGGGUCAGGUCCCUUGAUGUGCACAUGAAAACCAGCUUACGGGGACCGGUCCCUCGUUACCACAGACCGGUUGCAUCGUUUCUUUACGCAGAGAGGACCUACGGGGUCUGGUCUCUCUUAUCAUGGACCGGUCCCUGAACCCUGAUAAGUUCAGAUCAGUUAUUACAAAACGCAAUAAUGCAAUCUAAGUCUUCUACAUACAUUUUUGAACAUCUAGAGUCACCACAAAUGAUCUAUCUUUUAUACCUGAGGUGCCGAGCUUCCCGAAUGAGUCUUUGAUCUCCAAAUUGAAUCUUCUUUCCAAAACUUCGAUUUUAACUCUUCAAGACUCCAUUCGACUUCACGAAAUUCGCCAACUUAGAAAAUCCUUAACAGGGGGAGAGAGAGAGAGCGAGUGUAUGUCAGUGAGAGGCAAAAAAAUAAAAAAAAAAAAAAAAAGGUGGUCCUACCGAAGGCCCCCGCCAAACGCAGGGAGGCUUCAGAGGAACUCAAGAUUCAAUAUAUGUAUAGAUGGAUUGAAUAAUGCUCAAUUCACAUUCAUAGCCAUAUCCUUAUGUCAGAUCCGGAUACGAAUUCAGAUAUUGUUCGAAUACUAAAGUUCAAAUCUAUAUCCAAUAAAAAUGGAUUCGGAUAUGGUGCGUUAAAGAAAUAUGAAUACAAAUGAAAUAUCUAAGAAAUAUAAAAAAAUUAAAAACUAACGAAAUUAUCAAUAUAUAUAUAUAUAUAUAUAUAUAUANUUAUCACAAAGAAUAGUAAGAAUGGUGGAAGGAAUCCGAUAGUCGCUCAGUAAGCUCUUCAUCCACAACAACUGAGUAGAGCAACUACCAGCAGAAAUAUACUCAGCCUCGGCAAUGGAUAGUGCAAUACAGUUCUGUUUCUUGCUGUGCCAUGCGACAAGACAAUGUCCAAGGUAGAAACACGCUCCACUAGUACUUUUCCGAUCAUCUGCAGAGCCAGCCCAGUCUGCAUCUGAGUAUCCAAUCAGAUCAAGAGAUGUUCCCAUCGGAUACCAGAUACCAUAUGCAGUUGUACCUUUAACGUAUCGAAUAAUCCUUUUGACCGCUUUUAGAUGAAUUUCCUUAGGAUUAGCUUGAUAGCGAGCACAAAUUCCAACACUGAAGGCAAUAUCUGGUCUACUCGCAGUCAAGUACAAUAGGCUCCCAAUCAUGCUUCUGUAUAGUUUCUCAUCCACGCUCGGUCCUUCCGAAUUCAAUCCAAGUCCUUUAUUACUUGUACCCAUUGGAGUGUCAAAAUCUUUUACAUUGUCCAAUUCAAAUUUCUUAACCAACUCUUUCGCAUAUUUGGAUUGACACAAAUGUAUUCCAUCUUUAGUUUGUUUGACUUGAAGUCCAAGAAAAUAGUUAAGCUCCCCCAUCAUCGACAUCUCGAAUUCGCUUGUCAUCAACUUUGCAAAAUCAUUGGCAUUCUUAUCUUUAGUUGCUCCAAAAACGAUGUCGUCAAUAUAAAUUUGUGCCACAAUGAAAUUAUUUUUCGAGUGUUUUACAAAAAGAGUUCUAUCCGCUCCCCCUCGGUUGUAGCCCUUUUCCAGAAGAUAUUUUGUGAAGCGCUCGUACUAUGCUCGCGGAGCCUGUUUUAGUCCAUAAAGUGCCAUUUUCAGUCGAAAAACGUGAUUUGAAAAUUUUAAGUCUAUGAAACCUUUCGGUUGUUCAACAUAAACUUUCUCUUUUAAAAAUCCAUUUAAAAAUGCACUUUUAACAUUCAUUUGAAAAAGAGUAAUUUUAAAAUGACAGGCAAUCGCGAACAAAAUGCGAAUGUAUUCAAGACGAGCAAUCGGGGCGAAGGUUUCAUCAAAAUCAAUUUCCUCAAUUUGUGAAUAACCCUGAGCAACAAGUCUAGCCUUGUUUCGAAUGAUAGUACCAUCCUCAUUUUCUUAUUUUUAAAAAUCCAUUUGGUACCGAUUAUAUGUUGUUGCUCAGGACGUGGCACUAGUUCCCAGACAUCAUUACGCGUGAAUUGACCAAGUUCUUCUUGCAUAACAUUAAUCCAAUAUUCAUCAAGAAGAGCUUCGUCAAUAUUCUUUGGUUCAACUAAAGAAACAUAACAUGUAAGUUCACACUGAAGUUGUCUCCUAGUUUUCACACUAGUAAGAGGGUCUCCAAUAAUAUUUGACAAUGGGUGAUCUUUCACGGGUGUAAGUUCAGAAGAAGUGCUAGGGGUUUCAGAUGAAUCAUGUGAUGCAACAAUUUCAGGAGAUGCAAUGGGAUUAUCAAAUGCAGAAAUAUCAUCAUUCAUAGGCAUUACAAACGGAGAAUCAUUGUCAUCGUCAUUCAUCAAAGAAUUUGAAGAACCAUUUACAGAAGAAUUUACAAAAGAAGCUUCAUCUACUUUUAUAUUUAUAGACUCUAUCACCGUCUUAGUUCGUAAAUUGUACGCNUGUGGUAACCUAUAUACCUGCCAGCUCGCCCGCAGAUGAGUACGAGUAAGGAUGAUAACUGUCCAAAAAUUACAGAUAAAUUUUAUUCGUGUCUGCAUAACCCACGGAUAUAAUGAUCCACCCGCAGAUUGCCCGACCUGUCUGAUUUCAGGUCUAUCUAUAUCUUCAAAAUUUAUUAGGGAAAAUAUUUGAUGUAUAUAAAUAAGCAGGAUAAAUUGCACCACUAAUCCCCAACUUUAAGCUAAUUAAUUUUUACUUACAAUACUUUUUCACACUCAUGACUCAUGGCAAAGCAAAUAACAAAGUUAUAUUACUUAUUAGGAAACUCCAUUUCUUAUUCUUAUGUUACUCUGAUCCAAACAUAAUCUAAUUAUUCUAGUUUAGCACAUUUUUUCUUCAUCAUUCUAUAAUUUAAAAUUAUAUAUUACCUAGCCAUUUUAUUUUAUAAUAUUUUUUUAUUUUUUAUUUUAUUGUAAAUAUCUGUCAUGAAAUACAAUAAUAAAUUGAAUAAAGUGCAUUAUUAGUACUCUAGUUAUCACCUAUGUUCCUAAAAUAUAUAACUCUCCUAUAUAUCAUGUUGUUUUUUUAUCUUAUAUAUUUAACAAUUAACUGUUAUUAGUAUUUUUUUAUUUUUUAAUACAAGUUUUAUAUAAUCGGAUGUGUUGAAAAAACGACUUUUUUGUUGUUAUAAAUGGUUAGCUUAUAAUGUAUCUGGUUAAGUGAUAUAUAGACGACAACUUAUUUAAACAAAUUUAAAAAUAAAAUAUUUUUUAUUUUUUUAUUGUCAAGUAAAUAUUUUGAAUGGAAAAUUACAAGCAAUUCACUGCAUAUAAAAUUUUAUUAAAAAAAUAAAAAAAAAACACAUGCGAUACCAAACGAGACCUUACAAAGCAGAAAUUUUCAAUUAUAGGACGGUAAAAUAAAAGCGUGCUAAAUUGCAAAGAAACUAAUUGAAAAAGUUUUUUCUUUAGAUUUUAAACUAGCUUAAAGUUGCUAGUCGUAAAGCAAAUUAAGCACUUGUUAAAGGGAAAUAUGUAAUGUAUUUUGGUAGAGGUUCAAGUGGAAAAAGCACUUAACUAAUUAAUUAUAAUUUGCACAACACAUCUAAAUAAUGUAAUUUUCUGAUUUUAUACAUGCAUUUUCUCUUUUCUUAGUUUUUACUCUUCUUUUACUCAUUAAUCAAUUAUCCACUCUUUUCCUUUGGUUUUUAUUUUUUUCCUCCUCUCUUCUCUCUUUUACUGCAUGAUAGUAAACUAUGAGCUGAUAAUAAAACAUAUAUAUUUGUGUUGAAUAAGACCCAAAAUAUUGUAUUUGGAUCCUAAGGGUUAAGAAUAUUUUUAAACUUAAAUUGGUUCUAUCCAUGUCUCGAUAUAAUACAGCAUUUUACCCGAAUCGAACCCAUCCCUGUGUGAGACAUGUGUUGGAUUUAAGAUUUAAGUUCUACUGCAGAUUCGACGCGCAUACAAUCACACUAUUGGUGCAGGAGAUGACACUACAAGAGGGUCUAAUCUGCUGGCUUAAAGAGACCAGCAUCCUAUCUUGUGACAGAAGGUCAAGUUGAGCUAAGUCACUUUUCGAUGUAGCAUGAGGUCGUGUUGGGUUCAGUCAUAUUUGAAGUGGUGUGAGGCUGAUUGGGCUGAGUUACAAUCGAGAUCUGUAGACGCUGUGUCUGUAUACUUUAAAUAAAUUAUUUGUGUAUUUCUAACAGCUCAAGCUUUUGGUAUUAAUGAUUAGCACCAUCAAUCCGAUAUAAUUUGCUGUAGUUCAUAACAUUUAGUGCUACAUCAUGUGUGGACGAUCAAUUCGACUGCCGCACCAUACGAAUUUCCCUAUAUACGUAAUUUUUGUUCAUACUGGUGUAUUACAUGGGUGCAAAUUAAUUAGUUCUUUCCUUUUGUGAUUAACUACAUAAAUUAAUUAUCUAGCUAUAUAUCUAUUGCAUAUUAAGCUUUGAGACAAACAUUGAGAGAGAGAGAGAGAGAGAGAGGGACCCCCAAUACAAUGGUGUGUGAGCCGACAAUAUUGACUCAAAAGGACAUGAGGCUAUUUAUCUCUUACAUAUUAAGCUUUAGGAAAUAUAACAACACACAAAGAGAGAGAGAGAGAGAGAGAGAGAGAGAGAGAGAGAGAGAGACACAAUAUUGUGUAGUCCACUAGUGCCUCAAAAGGACAUGAGAGAGAGAGAGAGAGAGAGAGAGAGAGAGAGAGAGAGAGACCCACCAUUUGUGUGAUCAUCCAAUAUUGCUUCAAAAGGACAUGGGGUGGAGAGAGAGAGAGAGAGAGAGAGAGAGAGCUAGGAAAAAAAAAAGAAAAAAAAGGUGGUCCUACCGAAGGCCCCCGCCAAACGCGGGGAGGCUUCAGAGGAACUCAAGAUUCAAUAUAUGUAUAGAUGGAUUGAAUAAUGCUCAAUUCACAUUCAUAGCCAUAUCCUUAUGUCAGAUCCGGAUACGAAUUCAGAUAUUGUUCGAAUACUAAAGUUCAAAUCUAUAUCCAAUAAAAAUGGAUUCGGAUAUGGUGCGUUAAAGAAAUAUGAAUACAAAUGAAAUAUCUAAGAAAUAUAAAAAAAUUAAAAACUAACGAAAUUAUCAAUAUAUAUAUAUAUAUAUAUAUAUAUAUAUAUAUAUAUAUAUAUAUAUAUAAUCCGUACUAUACUCUUAUGAGUACGCCUUCGUACUCAUAAGUUGUUUUCGAUGAUAAAGCUUCCGGAUCGACGAUUCAUACCGUUAAACGUUAUCUAGAGCAAUUAAAACAUCUAGAAAUCAAAUUUUAUAAUUUUUCGACAUCAUUUACUUUACGAUCAAAAUGUCACAAAAUUGACAAUUUUUAACGGCCGGUAUAGGAUAUUUGCUAGUUUAACAGUGUAAAAGAAUCGAAAUUGGUUGAACUUUUGAUAGAAAAUUCUAUUCACUACAUAGAUAAAGAGUAAUAACUUCGAUCUUAAAUUGAAGAAUUCGAUCAUCCAUUUUUAAGACGUCGUUCGAUUUUGACCAUUCAUUUUAUACCCGCUUGACGAACUCUAUUAUGAUUUUGAAAUAUUACGAAAUUUAUUUUCUAUAAGUUUCAAAUACUCUAGAUCAUAUUUAAUGGAGUGGAUCGUCGAUUCGGAAGCUCAAUCAUUGAAAACAACUUAUGAGUAUGAAGGGCUCUAUAUUUAUAAGAGUAUAGUAGCCCUAGCAUAUAUAUAUAUAUGAGUGAGGCUACUAUGCUUCUGGAAGCAUAGAGCCUUUUGUGCUUCCAGAUCGUUUUUGAUGUUGCAACUUUCGAAUCGUCGAUCGGCUCCGUUGAACUUGAUCUAGAGUAUUUGAAGUACCUAGAAAAUAAAUUUUGCAAUUUUUCGAUAUCAUUUGCCUAGUGAAGUAAGGGACUCAAAAUCAACGGUUGAAAAUAAAAAUCUUACAAAACGUGAUAAUAUGACAUUAAAAUUUUAGAUCAAAGGUAUUGAUCUUGUUUUAAAUAGUAUAAAGAAUUUUCUAUCAAAAUUUCACAUGAUUUGGAUAUUUCUACAUCGUUAAACUUGCAAACGGCUCACCUCGGCCAUUAAAAUUAUUGAUUUUGAACCCUUCGAUCACUAGGCAAAUGGUAUCGAAAAAUUACAAAAUUUAUUUUCUAGAUACUUCAAAUACUCUAGAUUAAGUUUAACGGAGCCGAUCGAUGAUUCGAAAGUCGCAACAUCAAAAACGACGUGGAAGCACGGAAGGCUCCGUGCUUCCAGAAGCAUAGUAGCCUCACUCUAUAUAUAUAUAUAUAUAUAUAUAGAACUAGUCUCCUAUACUAUCUAUAGUACUGAGGCUCCAGUACUGUAGUCCCGUUUUCGAUCUUAGGGUGUUUAAAUCAACGAUUCACACCGUUAAAACUGAUCUAGGGUAUUUAAAGUUUUUAGAAAUAAAAUUUUAUAUUUUUUCGACAUAGUUUAUUUUAUGAUCAAACCAUUUCAAAAUUGUCAAUUUUCAAUGGCUACUAUGGCGAGUUUGGAGUUUAACGGUGUAGAAGAACCUAAAUUUCUUCAAAUUUUGAUAGAAAAUACUUUAAACUAUCUAGAUUAAGGUUAACAUUCUUGAUCUUGAAUUUAAAAGUCCUAUACUCAAAUUUUAAAGUGGUGUAUAUAUAUAUAUAUAUAUAUAUAUAUAUAUAUAUAGAUAUAUAUAUAUAUAUAAUAACUCGAUAUUAUGAAAAUCUUCGUGGUUGGUGAAACACAAAGAUUCAAAGAUCGGUAACCUAGAUGAGGAAUUAAUGAUUAUCGGAAACCUGGUUUGUAAUAAAAUGGAUGGUGGUGGAUGGUGGUAGUAGAGUUGGGAUGUAGAGAGGUAGGUUACCGAUUUUUGAGUUUUCGUGGUUGGGGAACCACGAAAACUCUCAUGAGAGAGAGAGAGAGAGAGAGAGAGAGAGAGAGAGAUAUAUAUAUAUCCGACGAUAUGAUAGAUAUCAUGGCCUCGAGGCCAUGAUAUCAGAACAAAAAAUAGAAUCCCACAAGUUUAAUUGCUAGGUGUGGCAAUUUAUACUAGAUCCCAUAUACUUCAAGAAUCCUUAUUUUAAAAUCAAAAAAAGCUGUAGCAAAUGAAUCAUUUAUUUAAUACAGUUUUACCUGCCACUUUUAACUUAUUANUAUUAUAACUAAUUAUAUGUAAAUAUUACAUAAUGGUGACCACUGCUCCAUCAUGUCCUAUAUAUUAUAUAUUGUGGGGAAUUUUAAUGUGAAAGUGAUGGUCCAGUUUAUUUCAUGGCCUUGUGUUCAUCACGUGUCAUGAGUACGCAUCAGACACUUUAUACUUAGGGAGGAGGAUCCAAAUUGGACCACAUAAUCAUCAUUCCAAUUUGUGUUAAUUGAACCAUUGAUUGGUCCCCAAACUUUCUUUUUUCUUUUUUUCUUUUUUUUUCUGAUUUUUGGAUCUUGGUCCCCCAAACUUUUUUUUAUUUUUUUGCAAUCAGCUUCCCGUGCAGCCUUUAGUUUCUGCCUCAAUUGAGUUCUCACGUUAAAAACGAUGUUAAUUAACUUUAAGGACAACAGCUUCGUUGGCACGGAUUAUAUAUAAUAUACCAAAUCAGUUACAUAUAUCAGCAUUAAACCUUAUCACGUUGCAAUUUUUAUUAAAAUUAACCAAUAUUUGCAAUAAUAGGGGGUUAAUUGAAAUAAAAACCAUGCACCGUACCCUACCAAAUAAAAAAACAGGAAGAAGUUUGGGAACCAAUGGCACAAUUAACCCUGGUAAUUUUAGUAAUUAUCUUUACAUAUUAAUAAAGUAGGUUUUGAGCUUUAAAUACAAGAUGUUAGGAUCUCAUUUGGCAUUAGUGUUAUUAUUAUUAUUAUCUAGAUAAAAAAGAAUAUACUUUUGUAAGCUUCUUGUUACCAUUAGUUAGCUUGUAAUGUAAUCUAGCACACUAAUUAACUAUUACAAAAGGCUUUUUCUUCACAAGGAGUGAAAAAACAGUUGAUAUCAUAUGUAAUUCCACUUUUGUGUUGCGAAGCAAUUACUUUAUAGAUGCAAUAGAUUGAAAGAACUCAAUCUAUCACCUAUAGUGACAUUUGUUGCACAUCAUUUAUAUGAAAAAGCUAAAAAAUGUAACAAUAUAAUAUAUCUAAGGCUCUUUUCGAGCUUAUGGACAAAAUACAUUAUAAUUACACGUGACAAAAGUGCAAGAAUUAAUAUAUAGUGAUAACAUGUCAAGCAACUAAUAAUACAUGAUAUUAUCAGAUAUAUUCUCUACAGUUCCAUCCGAAGACCCAAAAAAGCAUAUGAUAUGAUUCUGUCCCAACUCUUCUUACUCAGUAGUAAAACAAUACUUAAUACCAAAUGAGCAUUAAAUUUAAUUUUUUCUUUUUUUUUUACUAUAGUUUUUCUGUCUAAUCCUAUCUCCAACUGGGGUCAUACAUGCAAUAUAAGGAUGGUUGGUGGCUCCAAUGCUAUCUGUACACUCAAAAAGUGAAUGCAUGGAAUCUUACUUCCCUCCAGUCAAGGGUUAAUAAUUGACACCAGUCUCAUCAAAUUUUUUUAUUAUUAAAAAUAUAUCUACAAGAGUAAUUUAAACUCUUGGAUUAAAAGGUAUAAAAUUCGCGCCCAAUUUUUGAGUGUAUAAGUAGCAUUUUCUGUGUGGUAUUGGAUCAUACAAGACUAUUCUUACUAUUUCCAAGGCAAAAUGGUUUAAAUUUUGGCUAGAAAUGAGAUCAGUUUUUUUUUUUUUUUUUUUUUUUGAGAGAGAGAAAGGUAGCAUGCUAUCCGCUUCGUUUAUUUCAUUUGAAAAUAAACAUAGCUGGAAAUGUGAAUCAACUAGGAUUCGAACUUGGGUCUCAGGUACUAACCACCAAGCCUUUUGCCACUUGCGCUAGGGACGGUCGGUAAUGAGAUUAGGGUUAUACAUAUGAGAGAGAGAGAGAGAGAGAGAAUGUAAUUACCUGAGCAUUAUUACCUGUAUUCCAUUUGAAUUUAAAGGGGGAAAAUGUCUUUAUUAGGUGCAUCAAGGGAAAGCAUUUGAUUGGCUCGAGAUAUAGAUGAUGCAGAGCAACUACUACUUAGAACACACAUUUCAUCAUUACCAAAUAUCACUAAUACUAUAUUUUUUUAAUAUUCGAUUUGAGUAAUAUCUGAUGGUGAUUAAGGGUACAUGUUGCUUAGAUGAUGUAUGCUGAUUUUUUUAAAACAAAUUUUUAGAGGAUAACUUAACUAUACAGGACAAGGAAUAGAGAAAUGAUCCAUUGUGGAGUGUCUUUUUCANUACGGUGAACCAUUCACCGUGUCCAAUUAUUUGUAUUGGACACGGUGAAUGGUUCACCGUGUCCAAUACAAAUAGCUAUUUUGUAUUGGACACGGUGAAUCAUUCACCGUGUCCAAUACAAAAAUUUUGUAUUGAACACGGUGAAUGGUUCACCGUGUUCAACUUAACCAUCUGGCCCAGCCCCGCCCGCGUGGCGCUGACGUGGCGCUUGCGUGGCGGAGGCAGGGCCAUUUUUGCAAAUAAAUUUUUGACAGGGCCAAAUUUAAAAAAAAAUUUUGUAAGGGGGCUAUUUGCAAAAAAAGCCCAAAAUUUAACUUUGGGUUCGGGCCGGGCUUCAAAAUUUAGGCCUGAAAAAAUUUUGGGCCUAUUUGGGCAUGUUCAAGCCCGGCUCGAGCCCGACUCAAAAGCCCGAUAUAUUAAUUAUUAAAAUAAAAUAUUUAAUUAUAUAUAGUAUAAUAUUUAUUUAUAAAAAGAAUAAAUUAUAUAAUAUAUCAUAGUAUAUUUAUGCGUUAUUAAUGGUAUAUACUUAUAUAUAUAUAUAUGAGAAUAUAUUAUAUAUUAACAAAAUAUUUAGUUCCAUAUUAGGAUAUAUUAAAUAGUAUUAUUAUUUAUAAUUAAUUAAUUAUAUAUAUCUACGAGUAAAUAUAUGGUACAUAUUAUUAUACAAAUAAAAGUAUUUAUAUAUUAUAUGAUAAAUGUAUAAAAUGGGCCUUCACAAAGCCCGAUGGGUAUUGGGCAUUGGGCUUGAGCUUGGGCCGGGCCUUAAUUUUCAAACAAAAUUAGGUAAAAGCCCGACUCGAAGCCAUUUUUUUUGGGGCCGGGCUUGGGCAUAGUAUUACCUGACCCAAGCCCAGCCCAGUUCCACCCCUACCAAGGGGUUGGUGCUUUUGAGUUUUUAGCCAUUGGAUGGAGAGAUGUAGGGUUGAGAUGAUGGUGGUAGAUGGUGGUAGGUAAAAUAAUGUUUGGUCCAAAGGCUAUUAGUAAUUAAGGAGUAGAUCCAAUGGCUAGAAACUUAGAAACACAAAGUGGUUGGUGCUUCUAAAAGUAUUAUAGCUCAAAUAAAUAAAUAUAUAUAUAUAUAUAUAUAUAUAUAUAUAUAUAAAAGCUUCUUAAAUUUUAUAAAAAAAAUUACCAAAUAUAUAUUAAAAAACUUACAAACUCAAAAAAAAUAAUAUUACAAAUGAAUUAGAAGAGGAUGCAACAUGUUGAAAAUAUGUCAAAAUCAGCUUUGAAUUCUGAUAAUCAAAAUCUGAAUCCGAAGCAAAGAAUUAUAUCCAAAGCAAAUCAAAAUCUGAAAUUAUUUUUGUUCGAGAUCCAAAUCCAAGUCGGGUAGUAAAAUUCCAACCCACAUCUGAAAACUUUUAGAUUCAUAGCUGAGUGGGAUAUUAUCUGACAUAUCUUCACCCCUAGCAAUCACUUGACGUGGGACCAAUGUGUGUUUCAAUUCAAAUUCAAAUUCAAAUUCAACAUUAUAUUUUAAAAUUUGAAUUUCACUUCAAAGUUUGCAUUAAAAUUCAAAACUUGUAACAAAAUUUUUAAAAUUUAAAUUUAAAAUUUGAAUUUGAAUUUAUUUUUAAUUAAAUUCCAUAUUAGAAUUUUGAAUUUAAAUUUCAAAUCAAAAUUUAAAUUCUAAAUUCGAACUCAAAAUUUCAAAUUUCAAUUUAAAUUUAAAUUUUAAAGUCAAUUUAAAAUUUAAUAAAAUUUUCAAUUUUUGUUGAAAUUUAAAUCUAAAUUCAUUUUAUAAUAGUGGGAUUUUCGUCUACAUACUGAUAUUUUUGACUUAUGACAGUGAUAGCCUAUUACAUUCACUAGUUACUAAACUUUUCUUUUUUCAAAAAGUAACUUUAUUUACCGUUUGGUCUAAUGCCGGUUUUCAUCCACAAUACAGAAGUUUGGAUCAUUUCCUGUCUGCUGCGAGCCGAUUUCUUUGACCGCUGACUCGGUGAAAACUCUCAUUCGGGAAGCGCACGAGGAGGUAGAGCGGCUACUUUUGAUGACCCUCGAAGUUUGUGCCCACUGUCGAGUCAAGUGAUUCGGUUGAUGAGGGGUCAAAUCAACCGAGUUCAAUAUUACACAAUAAUUUCGAUUCGGCUAGAUCAGUCAAGUCUAGAGAUUGCAUAGUACUUUUUAGUUCGGCUAAAGAGCCGAAAUGCUUAUAUAUUGCUUAAAGUUGAAAAAUAUUUACAGAAGAGGGUGCAUCGCUUGGCAUACGAUCUCAAAGAAAAAUCUACUCUAGAAACUACUCAUAGAAAAGACAGUAAAUGCAGGAAAAGUAAAAUGAUUACAGAUAGAUUACUCCUAGAAAGCAGAAAAUACAAGGGAAAUAGAAAUUGGUUGUCUUGUUCAUAGAGGAAAAAGACCCCUUUGUCAAGUAUGUAACAUACCGAAACUCGGUAGAGAAUAUCGAACUUUACUCAAAUUGACUAAAGUGUACGAAAGGAAUAGUUGGACAAAGUCCAUUUAACAUUCCGAAAAUGUUGGAAGGGUUAAAGUUGAGUUCCAAGGGAUUUGAAAAGGUUUUAGCAUUGCUCGGCGCGAAUUGGAGUCGAAACAAUGCGAGAUUGAAGUUCGGGAGCUUUCGAAUGUUUCAGUACGCGUUAGGCGCGAAAACGGAACCCGAAAAGCUAUGUGGGACCAUGGACUAAAUCCGGCAUAAACGUGGAUGAAAAGAUGAUUGAAACACGCUCGAAAACAUGUUUUGGGGGUCACGGUGUGAUUUGAGAUGAAUCGGAGGCCUAACGAGCAAAAACGAGUGAGAACGGAGAAAAGCUAAAAAAAAAUUGGCUAAGUCCUGAAAAGGCUGUUAACCGGUGACAGAUUAAAAGUGUACCGGUACACAGUGUAAAAAAAUCCAAGAAGCUGCUCUCGGGUUUGGUUCUGCGAGAUCGUGUUACCGGUGACACCCCUGAUGUGUACCGGUACACAAUGCUGCGAAAACAGCAGGUUGGUCUGUUGCAAAUGUGAAAAGAAGGAGGGCUUAUUUGCAAAUGUAACAGCCUAUAUAAGCCCCCAACCCCUCUUUUCUCUUGUUCCCAGCCGAGAACUCUUCUCCUCUCCUAUUUUCUCGCUCUUUCUCUAGAAACUCUACUCUAAGGUGGAAAUGAGGAGAUCAAGAGGAAGAUUUGGAGGAGAUUUUGGAGAUUGAAAGAUCUAAAACUCUCCUACAAGGUAGAGCUUGUGGAGUCCAUAGGCUAAGGUGAGGUUUCUUCUAAGAUUGAUCUUAGGGUUUGGUUUUGUACCCUAGAAUAUUUGGUUUUGAUCUUCUUACAUGAGAUGAAACCUAGUAGUGGCCAUGGAACACAUGAAAACCAUAUUUUCUUUAUGGUGCUCUCAUGGUGGAUUUCUAAGAUUUGUUCUAAACAUCCUAAGAAUGGUUUAAAUGGUUCUAGAUGGGUUCCUAGAGGUUCAACAAGCUUGCAUUUGCUUGUUUUAGAGAUCAAAAUUGUAUAUUGGCCAAAUGAUAUUGUCAGGGCACCAAAAUUAGAAUUUUUGUCAUAGAUGGGUUUAAAUAUAAAUUGACCCUAUGUAAACCUAAUUGAAGGUAUUUCUGACGCGUUGGCGAAGUCGGUUCGGCGAUUUAUCGAGCCGACGCGAAGAUAUUGAAGAAACGGACGUUUUGGCUUCGUUUCCGCCUGGAGGGCCGAGGCGACGUUCAAAAAUCACGAGAACGGAUCCGGAGCAUCGUGACAUCAAGUUAUAGACUUUUAAUUUUCGGAUUGCGGAUUGGUGGCCGUUUGGUGGUUGAGUGCGAGUUCGGGCCGAACCGGGCAACGGGUGCCGCGGGAAGCUGAUUGCAAGUGACUACAAGUAAUCGGAAAGCGAUUUGAGGUGGGUUGUGCUCACCAAAGCGACUAGGUCGCCUUCAUGUCGAAGUUCUCUUGUGUUUGAAAGGAAAGAAAAGGAUUGGAGUUUGCACUUUUAUAAAGUGUUGCAACAAUUGCAAAUAACCCCCCCUAUAUUUUACUCAUCACAACCAGUCAAAACUGGCAUUUCGUGACACUGCAUAUCAGUACUCGAACUAGCGUACAGGUACAUGGGCAUUCAGUUCCGGUACGUAGGUUUUCAGUUCCGCAAAACCCGAACAUUGGAUUUCCAGAUUUUCUAUUACGUAUCGGUACCUAAAUUUUCAUACUGAUACUCAAUACGAAUUCUGUAGCUCCCAUACUGGUACUCAGACUUCAGUUCCUCAAAACGAGAGAGCUAGUUUCUCACCAUUUUGUAUUGCGUGCUGAUACUCAGAUUCCAGUACCGGUACUCAAUACAAAAUCUGCAACUCUGGCAGAUUUAGCCUUUCGGAGUCCGUUUUCGCACCUAGUUUGCGCUGAAACACUUGAAUAACCCCGAAACCUCGCCAGAACUAUUCAAAUAGCCUUCUAGGCCACUUUCCACUAGAACUUCAUAAUUUGUAGAAUUCAAUGCUCUACAGCAGCGGGGCAGUUCAACAGCACCAACAACAAGGCAAUUGCAGCAGUGGUAAGAAAUAGCUACCCUCUUCAUCAUCUCCUUACCUUUCUUCUUCUCCCACACUGCUAGUAGUUGCGGCAAGAGGUGAAAUAGCAGCAGGAGCUGUAAUAUACCGAACUUCUAUAGUCAUGAAGUUUCGGUGGAUGUUAAAAGCUAUUAGCAUUGUCCCGGUGAAGUUCGGGAACGUUUGAGUGUUUUUGGUACGCGUCGGGUGCAAAAACAGAACUCGAAAAGCUUUGAUUGCACUUUGGUCUAAAUCCGGCAAAGCGUGGGUGAAAAGAUGGUUUGAAUGCGCUCGAAAACAUGUUUUAGGGGUCUCGGUACGAUUAGAGACGAAUCAAAGACCCAACAAGCAAAAAUGAGCGAAAACGAAGCAAAAAACGGAGAAAAGGCUGAAAUUGCUAAAAAUUUGGCUAAGUCCUGAAAUUCUGGGCUGGUGGACCUACGGGGUCCGGACCUUGAGUGCAAGGUCCAGACCCUGAGCUCGAAAAUUGCCCAGUUUGAGCAGGGGUAGUUUGGUAAAUUGUGGGGGGUUGCUUUUAAAAAGGGGCUACACCCCUUUCUUCUUCCUCCCACAGCCAACACAACACAACACACACACACUAAGGUAGAGAGAGAAGCUCUCCUCUCUCUCUAGAUUGCUCUCUCCUCUCUCUAGAUCUCUCUCUCAAAUUCGGAGGGUUGGUGGAGAAUGAGCUUGGGAACGCGUUGGGAGCGACGGAUCGAGUCCUCGUGCGUCCGGUGGAGCGGGGUGCUUUCGACUAGGCGUUCGCAAAUUGGUAAGAGUUUGGAAUUUUGUUUAAAUCCUUGAUGUAUGAUAUUCUAGUUGUCUCUAGAGUAGUCUAAGUAUGUUACUCCAUGUAUUUUUGGGGUAUUUGGAGAAGCGAGAAACCUAGGGCUUAGAGUUGGGGGUUUUGGGAUUUAUGGGUUUUGAUCUCAUUUAACCCCAUACUUCUCUAAUUGAAGGUUAGAGAUGGGCCCUUGGUGACUCUAGAUUGCGGAUUGUUAGGCGUUUGGCGAUCGAUUGUGAGUUGGAGCCGAACCAGACGAUGUGUGCCGCGGGAGCCCGAUUGCAAGUGUCGACAAACAAUCGGAGAGCGUUAAAAGGUGGGUUGUGCUUCACCGAAGCGAUUAGGUCGCUUCCAUGCCAAAGUGAAGUGUGUUUCGUUAUCGAUGCAUAUAGUGGUAGUUAAUUGCCAAGUAAAUGAAUGCAUAAGAUAGAUGCUAAGUGAAUGCAUGAGCUAAAUGCUAAAUGAAUGUAUAAGAUAUAUGCUAAGUGAAUGCAUGAGCUAAAUGCUAAAUCAAUGUAUAAAAUAUACGCUAAUAAUGAUUGCAUGUGAUAGAUGCUAGUAAAUGCAUGAGAUAUAUGCUAAUAAAGAAUGCAUGAGAUAUAUUGACUACCAUUGAAUGAUAAAGACAUAGGCAUGAGUAAGCAUAUAGGAUAUGUAUGCCUAGAUGUGAAUGUUGAAUCGUGGACGAUGAACUUGAGAAAGAAUAAAGAACUUGACAAGUGUGGCAUGUAAAGAAUCCUAAGUGUGGAUAAUUAGGAUAACAAGUAUCAUGAGUGGUAUUGAAACCUAGUGUAUUGAACAUAGGUAAAUCAUGAGUGGCAUUGAACCUAGUGGCAUUGAACAUAAGUAGAGAAUUGAACCUAGAGUCAAGUAAACCUAGGUUAUGAGAUGAGCGGCAUUGAACCUAGAGUCAAAUGAACCUAGGUAGCAAAGAACAUUGGACAUAGAUAGGUCGACAUUAUAAGGUGAGACCAACCCUUGAGCUAUGGAAAGUGGAUUCCGGAAUACCGGCUGCGAGUGUAGCGGCUACUAGUGCAGUGUAUGAGACUUGCGACUGAGUGCAAGUGAAUCAUAACUACGGGUAUGUGUGGUUCUCCUCGCCCGACAGUAAUUCAACGGGUAUAUGUAGUUCUCCUCGCCCGUAGGUCCGUUGAGCGACUUGUUGUCCGAGGUUCAACGGUAUAUCCUCACCCUAUGAGUAGACCUACAGUCGAGAGGAGUUAAGGCUGAGGUGCAUGUGAGACGUCCCUCGCCUCGAGCCUGACUGAGCGUGGAUUAUCCGCGGUUGAUUGACUCAAGACCGAGUCGGGUGGCAUAGUUGGCUAAGGUAAAAGUAACCUUAGGAAAGAAUUGCAAAGAAUAAAGUAUGGCAAAUGAGCAUAGUAUAGCUAAGAUAAGAGUGUCCUUGGCAAAGAAUAAAGAAUGGCUAGUAAUAAAGAGUUGCGAAUAAUAAUAAAGAAUGGCUAGUAAUAAAGAGUUACGAAUAAUAAUAAAGAAUGGCAAACGAUAGAGAGUAGAAUCAAGUGAUCUACUUACAUGAGUUGCAUGAUUCGCAUGUUGCAUGUUGUGAGGCAUAUGGAUACGUUAAAUACUUGCAUAAAUUAUUUGUGGAUAUCUGUGGACUAACAUGUUACAGUGCCUCCUUUAGACCUGGUGGGUCGAGCUCUUCCCUUUGAUGGCCGUAUCCACUGGGAACUAUGAGUAUAGUUCUCACCCCACGUUGCUUUGGGGGUUUCAGGUCUGCACGUGAGCGGCGCGGCGGCGCGAGGAAAGGGCGUAACUCCGUAGAUAGCGCCCUACCACUGAGACCAGAGAUAGCAGUACCCCAAGUCGGCUUAGCUUAAGGGUAUAGAAAAGAAAAGAUAAGAAUGUAUAAAGUGUAAAAACUAGAUUGUAUUUGGAAGCUAAAAAGAAUUAAGAAUGUAAUAUGUCACGCCCCGGGACCGAUACCAAUUUGGGCCGGCCCGAGCACGUCAAACAGACGCCGAAAGGACAGAGUUUUUCCUGUCCGCCCAAGGCUCAUCACCUGUACAUUUUCAAGUAGAGAAAAGCACUAGCGGAAACAUACAAAUACGGCUUACACGAGGGUAAGUAAUAACCAUGAGUGAAAGAAAGGAAACUAAACAACUACACAAGUACUAUAAUUCAACUUUUGAUCAUAUACAUUUCAUUCAACUUUCACAUUCUUUGCAUCAUCUCUUAUUACAUCACAUUUGCUCAAAAUGAAACAUUACAUUCUUUUCUCUCAUUUGCUUUAUACAUAAACAUCUUCAAAUACAAAAAAAGAUACAUGGUAGGCUACUAACAAAAUGUAAACCCGACUUGGGUAGUCACUGUCUAUGGCGUGAUACCUUUACCGCGGUGGCUCGCCGGCUCGCUCGGUCCCGGCUCUGUGGAAAUAGUGGGGUGAGAACUACAACGAAAUUCCCAGUGAGUUCGGCCCCAAUCUCACCGACUUUCCCACUAGGUCUAACUCAGGCAUAAUAGAAAGAAAGCAGAUAAGUAACCAACUAUACAAAUGCGACUAAUAUGCCUGAACAAUGCUAUCAAUAAAGAUGCUCAAUAUAACUCAUGAAGAAUGCACGAUCUUUGUUCUUUGUUCUUUAUUCUUUGUUCAAUCUCAAGGCUAACCCGGGGAUAUCGCCUCAUUAACUCACCAACUCAAAAUCCAUGAUCGCGGGCCCUCAGCUUCUUCCCGCUAGGACCGUCCUCCGGGGAACAGCACCAACCCAGUGAUGACAAACUCCGGAGCGCAUCGCCCGAGGGGGAGCGACCACCCUCGAGCAAGGACUUAUAGCGAGUAUGAUCAAUCCUUAACUCUAAGCAUGUUCAGUUCAAUCUGUUCCUUAACUCUAAGGAAUUUAUGCACAAAUGACCCUUAGCUCUAAGGUUGUAUGUCAUCGUGUCUCAAUCUUAUGUUCUAUGCAUUCUUUACUUUGACCAUGUCACUAUACUAACUCUAGUGUUCUUUGCAUUCUUUACUUUCAUCAUAUCUUUACACUAACUCUAGUGUUCUUUAUGCCACACAUUUAAUGCUAUCUCUAGCCAUUGUUUUUUAUGCCACAUUUUGUUGCUAACUCUAGCAAUUAUCAUUCUUUAAUGCCACACCUUUAUUCUCUUUGAUGCCACACACUAGCUCUAAUGUUCUUUACGUCAUACGUCGUGCUAACUUUAGCUUUCAUUCUCAACAUUACAUUGUCCUCAUGUCAUAUGUCACUAGUUCUUUAACUUUACUAAGCUCUUACCUCUUUUUACAUGCACAUAUAGGGUUAUUACAUUCUUUAUUGGUUCUCAACCAUUAUGAUGCACCAGAACUCACACAAUGCAAACAUUCACAUAUUUAUAAUCUUAUUACCCUACUAUGCAUGCAACAAUUAUAUAUGUAUGCUCAAGAAGUGACACAUUAGAUAUAAAGGGAAUUCCAACAAGUUUGGAGAGCACCACACACCUUGUAGGCUUACUUAGGUGCUACGGUGAAUUUCUUGAAAUUUUUAGCCGCCUAGUUCGCUACCUCUGGCAAAACGAAGCCAAAUUAGGCCUUUUUGCUCAUAACUUUACAUAGGCUUUUCGUAACGUCAAUCCGAGCGCACCAACGCGUUCAUUUGAUCCCCAAUUAGGUUUCUAGAGGAUCAAUUUCACUUUGAAACCCUCACAAGCAAAAGCCCCAAUUUGAGUGCCCUAGCUCCAACACAUGUAUCAAACCUAGGGUUUGAUCUCAUUAGGAAGCAAAAGAGAGCUUAAUCUACUCAAGAGAUCCCAUUAAAGCCAUUCUUAUCUCAAUCCAAAUCCUAGUUUGGGUUCUACCAUGAGAGGGGAAGAAGCUUACCUUGUAGGCUUUCCUUUCUUCAAGCUAGAGAUGAGGGAGAGGGAGUUAGUUCACUCCUUCUUCUUCUCCAUCUUUUUCUUCUUCUUCUUCUCUUUCUUUCCUUUUCUUUCCUUUUCUUCUUCCUCUUCUUUCUUAUCUUCUAGAGAGAGAAUGAGAGAAAGUUCAGAGGGUGAGAGAAUGAGAGAUAGAACCCUCAUAACCCCUCAACAUAACCCAAAUAUUGCAUAAAUGCAAAUAAGCCCCUCAACUUUUAUUCCAUUACACAGCUCGGACUGGGCCAUUUUCGUGCUCGGGGAUCGGUCUCCCCGACAUGGGACCGGUCCCAGAGAGCUCUCCCCGCGGGCAGCCAGGGCCCCCGCGCAAUGCAACCGGUCUCUCUCAUAGGGACCGGUCUCUCGGGGACCGGUCUCUCCCUGCAGGGACCGGUUCUCGAGAGCAGGUUUUCUGAAACUUAGCCAAAUUUUUCCCUUUCUUAUUUUUCACGCGUACGGGGACCGGUCUCUCCUUCAAGGACCGGUCCCCGAGAGCUCAAAACCUGCAGAAUGCAGAUUUUUUAUUCUUAUGCUCUCGAAAAUCUCCCACAAUGCACUUUUACUCAUUUUAACGCCUUCGGACUUUCCGAAGUGUACCAACCUCGUACUUUGGUCAAUUUGACUAAAGUUCGAUAUUUAUUUUCCUAAUUUUCGGUAUAUUACAUAAUAUGUAAAGUGAAUGUGGGUUAAAUGCUUGUAAUAAUUAGCAUUUAUGUCUUUGAUACCUUCCUUAUGCAAUCUAUGUAUGAAAUCUGUUCCUGGUCGGAACCUCGUGAUUUGUACUGUUGCGAUGUCUUGGACGUACAAGGAAAAUUCUGUCUGCGGUACAGGGGAAACCCUGUUCGUUCGGCGGUCUGUUGGCAUGCCCGAAUCCGACCAAAGAGGCGGGUCUCGGGGCGUAACAGGAGCUGCUGUCAGCAACAACUGCAGCAAAGUAACAACUACAACAAAGUUGACAGCAAUAGUGUGGGAUUGCAGCAGGAUAGCUUCAAGGUAGAUCCAAUAGGGAAAUUGAAAUCCUCAAUUUCAAAAUUAAGGGUUAAUUGGAGAAGAAGGGAGUGUUGGGACCUAGCUUGCAGUUUUCUUUAGCUGGAAUUUCAGGUUAGUAAAUCUAAAUUUGAGUUAGGAUUGAGAAUUGUGUUGAUUUUUGGACUCUUGUUGGAGGAUCAUUGAUUCUUUUGAUUCUAGUGAAGGGAAGAAGCUUGUGGACUUACUUCUUCGACCGCAUUACAAGUUAGUAAUAAGUGUUUAAUUAGUGAAUUUUCCACUGUAAUGCUGAAAUCUGGGUGUUGAUUGGAUUUUGUUAAAUUUCUUCAUCGUCUCAUCAAGCUGGACUUUUAGAGGCUAGUUGCUAUUUUUUUUUGAGAGAUAGGUAGCACGCUACCCGCUUCGUUUAUUUUAUUUAGAAAUAAACUUAGCUGGAAAUGUGAAUCAACUAGGAUUCGAACUUGGGUCUCGGGUACCAACCAUCAAGCCCUUUGCCACUUGCUCUAGGGACGGUUAUUUUAUACUACAUCUCUUGUUGAUUGAGAGUCAUCCUUAGACUGAGCUUGACGGUUAGUUGAAUUAAAUUCGAAGAAAAUCUGAAAUUUAAGCGGAAUUGGAUUUCUUAGUGAUUUUUCGGACUUCGAGUGUCCUAACAGGUUUUGGGCUGAAGUUUUCUGGACUUUGGAGUCCUUGCUGAUUUCCUGAGCUAAAUUUUUUGCCGUGGUUGGACUAGCAAUUGGAGGUGGGUUAAAUUUACUGAAAACGGCGGUUAACCUAUUAUGUCAACCAAAAUUCUGCAUACAUGCUUUUAAUUGUCAACUUAAAAGUUCUAGCUUAGAAUUAUUGAAGUUGCACAUGAGAUGCUAAAAUUCUAACCUUGAACAUAUCGAACCUGCUUGUAGAGAAUUUUCUAUAGUGAAAUUAAACUCUACACAUGCAUAAAACUUGCACUAUGUCUUUUUGAUGCUCCAUCGUUACAAUUUAGUUUCGUUAGCUGCUUUUACCUAUUUUUUAUUCUAAUUAGAGGGUUGUGAAUAUUCGGAUUAGUGUAGAAUGACUUUACGCUCGUAUUGAGGGGCUGAGUGACUUUUUUCAGCAAACAGUUUUUCGAGUUAUAUAGUAGGGUGCCGUUUAGGUUAACAAUGGGCUUGAAUCAUUGAGUUUUGUAAUGGAUUUGGGACACAUGGGUUAUAGUUUUAUGAUCUGUUUAGUCAUUUGUAUCGACUACAACCUGCAUGAGCCAAAAUUUAAACUCGACAAAGACUACAUUUUUUGCUCGGCUGGUAGCUGUCCCAAGUGCCGCUCCAAAGUGAGGCUUUAUGUGUUGGUGUUGCAACAGCCCUUUUGAGCGAUCUACCUUUGACCACCCACCUUGAGGGUGGUGCCGUGGUAGUAGGUUGGUGCUGGUUUGACCGGACCUUAGAGGCGGUCUUUUGGAUUGGGUUUGAAUAGUGAGUCCUCAAUUAGUAGUUGAUGCAUUCAUUUAUAGGUUUUACUUUUAUUUUGAGCACUAGUAGUAUAGAAGCAUAAUAAAGGUAGAUUCUUUUCCAGCUACUAUUUUUAACUUUUAUACUUAUCCGGUUCUUUACUUCUCACUCUCGUAGACCUAGUGGGUAGGCCAUCGACGUCGAUGAUGGUACCUACUGAGGAUUAAUUAUUUUAGCAAUUUUUGCGUCCUCUUGUUACCGAUCGAGGUAAGGAAGUGAUGAGCUAGUUCUUUAUUUUCUUAUACUGGCUGAGCUAGAGUACACAUGUUAGCUAGUUUAGGAAGAGUAGUUCGUUAUACAUACCAAAUCGACCAGUGAACUUAUGUUUAUGUAUUUUCUCUCAAGUACGAAAGGUGGUAUUGGUGUUUGAUGGACAGCAGUUUUAUUUUAGCUCUGCUAGCUUUUAUUUUGUAUACGAUACUUCCUUCGCUUCACUUGCACAGGGCUGCUGCACUUGCACAGGGCUUUCUGUGCAUGCCACGGACCUAUUGGCGAGCCCAAAUUCAGUCGCAACAUGAGAGGUGACAUUUAUUAAAUUAAUUAAAUCAAAAUUUUAAAAUUUGAGCUGUAAUCAAACUAUAAACGAGCCAGCACAGCUUAGUACACUAAUCAAGCUAACAAACUAAAUGCAAGCUGGCUUGUGAAAGUGCGAGCUAAUCACCAGGUAAAUUUUCCUAGCUCGUCAACAGCACAAGCUGAACACGAACAGGUCUCUAAUUUUUUGAUGAAACUGCAGAAAUCAUAUAUUGAUCAAAUGGGCAAAAUAUUUUUCCAUCACAUUUUCGUACCAUAUCUUGUAAUGGGGAACAGUGAAGUAUCACAUUUUGCUACGAACAAUUUGAACCUUCACAGAUUGUUGAAUCAAGCAAAGCAUAGCCUUCCCACGAGUACGUGUGGAGAGCACAAAUCAUACAUCAUUAAUAUCAAGUUAAGGAAAAUAUAGAGAACACAAAAUCAUACAGCAUGGUCUCAAGUUGGAAAAAAAAAAAUCACCAGAACCAGUCACUUGGUUAAAUUCAUAACUGAAGUCCAAAAUGAUUGAUAAAAAUAUACUUCAGUUGGACCCAAAAAAACAUCAUGAACAAAAGCAAGGAGAGCUCAAUUUGCCCGUGGACUAAUGAGUGAAACACUUUGAAAAGCGAUAUAAAUAUCUCCAUUGCUACUCAAGGAAGUAUUCUUCUACAUUUUAAACAUAUUAUUGGAGUUGUGAUGAAAUCAAAAAACUAUUGAGAAGUGAAUCCUUGCGCAUGCUUCGGACUUCUAUGAUGCUAUAGAGGCGUUGCAAACCCUACAAGAGAUUGUUACCAAGAUAAAUUUGAUUAAACAUUUAGAUAAGAGAAUAACAGCAAGAAGAGCAUAUUGUAUAGUGUAUACAAAACGAAAAAAAAGUAAUGAAGUUAUGAAUGUUAGUGCACGUGCUUGAAGUUCAUAGUCGUACAAAUUGGAAUUAUUGAAGUACUUCACAAGGCAAGAUUUGGAGACACCCUUAUGAGAGAUUAAAUUACAUGUUCAGAGUAAAAUAUCAAUUAUGUAUUCUCCAGAGAAAAGAUAACUGUUCAUCUAUAAGUAUAACAUUUCUAGAUGUAACGAGGAAAAAGAAAUUCAUAUGAGGGCACAGAUGUCAAUCAAAAGGCAACAAAGAAAACAUUCCAAAGGCCAGCAAAUUCAAUGACUAUAAUAUCGCUGCUUUUACUAGAAUAGAUGUCACACAUCUUACGUUCAAAAUAACAUCUAGUUGUAAACGUUACAAUUACAAUAUCAUUUAGACGAGCUUUAAAAACAAAAGCUAUCAUUCUUUGAGUAAAAUACAAACUUGCCUAAACUUCUAUUGGUACAUAUCAUCAUCACUAGCGACGCCAGAUCCAGAUCAUAAAUACAAUCAAACCAAACUGUAGCAGAAGGUGGACAAGUGGGCAGUUUGGGUUGGGAACUAACAAGGGGGGUUGACUCAUGAUUUUAGUUUGAAGAAACUAGGUAGGAAAAGAUAAACAACAAAGUAAUAAGGCUUAAGCACAAGGUAAACCUUUUAACAGCCAUAGGAUUACACCUAUCACAAUAUCGACAACUACAUAAAUGCACUGGGAUUCACCUAUCUCGAUAUUGACAACUGCAUUAAUGUUUGUAAACCAAAACUAACGCACGAAGGGAUUGAAUGAGGCAGACAAGAUAAACAGUUCGUGCUGAAACAUGUGAACGAUAUUAAAGAACAAAUGCAAGAAUUUCUAAAGCACUAUGGCACAUGGAUCGAAACCCACAAUGCAACUUUCCUGCAUAAAUGCACUAAAAUAAAAGAAAUGGGAAAAGAAAAGGAAAACAAACAAUAACCUUCCGAAAGCCAAGCCCAACCACCAGGCUUCAUAGAAAGCAUAGAAGUGAGCAAUGCAGAAGCAGUAAUGCUGUGAAGCGGCAUCAAAGAUUGAGCACAACCCAAUUCCACAGGAAGCCUACAAAAUGCAACAAAGACAUAUAAAUAUGGAUUCGAUCGUAACAAGCCAACAAACAAUGAGAUAAAUCAUACAGGCAAACGAACAAACGAUUCUAAUGAACAAACAACCGGUGACCAAAUAGAAAAAAGGAACAAUCAUACUAAACAAAGAAUCAGCAACAAAGUAAAAUAUUUAAAAUCGUAGGCAAGUAAGCUCUUAACUAAGAAAUGUCGUACCAUGUAGAUUUUGAUGUCUCCAGAAACAGAUCUAGAAACUAAUUCAAGCUUACUUGUGCUGAGAGAUACCAAUACUUUAAUGGGUACGUGCUAUAACAAAAUGAAAUGCUUUACGAAACAAAGAACAUGAAAUGAAUCUCCUAGAUUAAAAAUUUUAAGAGCAACGGGACAAGAAAAGCAGUUAUACAUUCAAAUCUUUGGGGCGAAAUAUCACAAAUUAGUAAGAGGAAAGGGGAGUACCACAAACUAGUAAAGGAGACAGCUUUAGCUCAGUCGUGCUUUAGAUAGAACGAAGUACAUUUGAUGUGCAUGUGCAUCUCCAAGAUUAAAAGACAAAAAGAACAAAGGUACGUAAAUAACACUUCUCCAUUCCAAUUUGCAGGGGCGAAAAAUCGUAAAUAAGCAAAAGUAACCCAAGAACACAUCAUAUAACCACUAUAACUAAUAAAAAUUGAAAAUCCUUUCCUGAAUAUCAGCAAAAUGGCUAUGAUUCCCAACAACAAAAACCAACUGAAAUGGGAAAAAAGGGCCAAAAAAGGGACAAAGAGUCGCUUAUACCUAGAGAUCGUUAAUGGAAGCCUCCGCCGAGAGGAUCGGGCGAAGGUCGAAGUAGGCGGAGAAGAGAAGGGUUUGGAGCUCCCCAUGAAGAAGAGGCUCCUCGAAGAAGAAGAAGAAGAGCGGAGGCUUCGGAGAGCUCUUCGAGCUCCGCCCAUGGCCGCCGCCAUUUUCGCCCUCUCUCUCUCUCUCUCUCUCUCUCUCUCUCGUAGUGUUAAGAUGUUUCGCGGAGGAGCGCAACAUCCCGAGUUGUAACCCCCUGUAGGUUUUUAUUAUUUAAUCGUGAGCGUUCGUUUUUGGUGAUCACCCUGAUCUGAGUGUGGUGUGGAUCAUUGUGGGAGAAAACCCUAGUCGGUAUACGUAUUUUCGUAGGCUCGGAUCAGACUCGAGACCGUGUCGGGUCGCAUUACUAGGCCCCGACUCAUCCAGACCCAUUUUUCUAUUUAUUUUUUUUAAGAAAUUAGGAUUAUUGCCUGCUCUUGGUGCACCAUGUUAGCUAUGAACCACAUUGGUAUCCACCCUCCCUCACAUGUCACAUUUUAAUUACUUGUUAAUAUCGAAAAUAGGCACGGACAGUACGAGGCGUCGGAAGAGAUUUUGGCAUAGGACCAGGGCUUCAACAAAAGGCUAUGUUAAAAAGCACUUCGUUUUUACUUCGGCUUUAAAUUGAGAAUCUUUUAGUGAAGUUUUGUUCUCAACCAUAGAAUCAUCACGUUCAAAUCUUAGUUUAAAGUUACCAAUUCUUAGAGCGAGUGGCAAAACGUUUGGUGGUUGGUAUCCGAGAUCCCAAGUUUGAAUUUUAAUUAAUUCACAUUUUCAACUAAAUUUAUUUCUAAAUGAAAUAAAUGAAUCAGGUAAUGUGCUAUCUAUCUCUAAAAAAAAACCGCCUUAGUUUAAAGUUUUGUUCUCAAUCAUAGACGAUUUUGUAAAAAUAAAUAAAUAAAGUAAGAAAAGUAAAAAAAGAUUUGCUGCAAUAAAAAUAUAAAAAUAAAUUAUAGAAAGGAAUAAAAAAAAGGACAAAACUUUAAACUUUUGUUCUCAAUCAUAGACGAUUUUGUAAAAAUAAAUAAAUAAAGUAAGAAAAGUAAAAAAAGAUUUGCUGCAAUAAAAAUAUAAAAAUAAAUUAUAGAAAGGAAUAAAAAAAAGGACAAAAACUAUACAAAUUUGUUAUCUUGACUAUUAAAAAAUAGGAUUGAUCCAUGCAAUAAAAUUUUAUAUUUAUUUGUUAUAUUGACUAUUAAAAAAUAGAAUUAAUUCAUGCAAUAAAAUUUUACACUUGAUGUAGGAAAACAUAAAAAAGAAAAGAUGUUAAGGAAAAAAAUAAAAAAAAGAAAGUAAGAGAGUGAGAGAGAGAGAGUGAGAGUGUUGAGAGAGAAAAAAACAAAAGAAAGUAAGAGAGUGAGAGAGAGAGAGAGAGAGAAAAUAAAAAAGAUGGGCCCCACCGGCCUCCCAAAAAGAGAGAGUGAGAGUGUUGAGAGAGAAAAAAACAAAAGAAAGUAAGAGAGUGAGAGAGAGAGAGAGAGAGAGAGAAAAUAAAAAAGAUGGGCCCCACCGGCCUCCCAAAAUGCGGGGAGAGCCCCUUUAGGCUCUCAUUUCAUCUAUUGUAUAAAUUCUUUUUCAAAUAUACAAAUAUAUAAGCUGUUAGCGUAAAUUGUUAAGUGUGGAAGUAAGAUUAGUGAAUAAUUGUGUCUUUUCAACAAGGUAGUUAUUCUUAUAAAAAGAUUGUCUUUUCAUUUGAUGUAAUGAUAUGUCUCUUCAUAUAGAGAUAUAUUUCUUCACAAAGAGAUAAAUCUUGUGUGAAAGAGUAUGUGUUUUCAUUAUUUGUGUAAGGAAGUGUCUUUUUGUGAAAAAUAUAACUUUAAAAGUUGUGUCUUUUCAUCGUAUCCAUUCAUCUUCUAUCAAUAAAAAAUGUUUGAAGGCUUCAAGUGCAAUACAAUCAAUUUGGGCUUCAAGUGCAAUAUAAUCAAUUUUUUCUCCUUCCUAAUUUUUUAUGUCGAUUCUUAAGAGCGAAGUUCUUGAGGGAAAGUCUUCAAAAGUGCUGUUUGUAGUCUUUCGGCGGUUGUUGACGACCGAAUUUCCUAAUGCCUCGACCCUCCUCGGGAAGUGUGUCGGGGUGGAAAUCGGCUGCUGAUCGUGACCCUCGAAGUUUGCGCCCACGACAGGUCAAGCGAUUCGACCGAUGAGGGAUCAGAUCGGCCGGGUCCGAAAACCUCCUUAGUAAAUUCGCUUUGGCAAGAUGAACCGAAUGAACAGGUGGGGCCUAUAUUUCGGCUGAGAGAUGAACCGAAUAGUUAGGACAGAACGAGAUCUGGUCGGCCUGAGGAGCCGAAAAACGACUUUCUAUUAAUGCGAAGGGAGUGAUGCCCGAAGGGCAGACAGACUCCGAAGUGUACAAGGGAGUGAUGCCCGGAGGGCAGACAGACUCCAAGGUGUUUACAAUGAAGUGAUGCCCGGAGGGCAGACAGACUUCAAAGAAGCUAAGUUACAAGCACUACUCCUAGGCAAAAGCGAGGAAAAAUAAAGGUGGUCUCUUGUGCGCAGGGGCGAAGACCCGUUUUCAGGGUACUACAGGUCUAUUUAUAUAUUUUCCCCUUAUGUUCAGUUAUUGCACGAUCGGCCAUCUUCUCCGGAUUUGAAGGACCACGUUCGGCCGAUUGGAACUGCCAUUGGGAACUGCCCAUAACCGCUUACGGUUGUCAUGCAGCUCAUAUCUCCUGGCGCAUUUUCCGUGCUCCCGAUCCAGCGCUAUCCUGAAUAUGAACUCAGUGUGCCAACUGUCUGCGCCGGAUUGGUUCAACAGCGGUCUUGUUAUUUCCUGAAGGUGAUUUGCUGGUAACCCAACAGCAUACAUUCGAGUGGGCGCAAAUAUCACUUUAAAGAAAGUAAACUUGCAUGCCUCAAGAUCAUAAUUUGCUUGAUCUCCAUGUAUAUUCCCCAAUAAUUUUAAGGUGAUAUCUUAAUGGAGACAAACACUGAGGCGGCUUUCAAGAUGAUAAAUCAAGAGUCUAGAAAACUGAACCACUUCGAUAGAACCAACUUCACUCGAUGGAAAGAUAAGAUGUUGUUCUUACUCACUGCACUGAAGAUAGCAUACAUCUUGGACCCCAAUUUGCCAGAUUUUUCUACACCUGCCGCUACAAACACUGAUGAAAUGAGGGUGGCACGUAAAAAACGCGCGGAGGAUGAACUACUAUGCAGAAGACAUAUUCUCAAUAUCUUGUCAGAUAAUUUAUAUGAUUUAUUUGCAUCGAUCCAAUCACCAAGAGAGAGAUGGGAUUCUCGAGAAGCAAGAUAUAAUACUGAAACGCAAAUCCCAGAUAAAUUUUUAAUUAUGAAAUAUUAAUUUAUUGAAACUUAUGUAUUCAGAUAUUUGUGAAUUAAAUGGUCAUUUAACUUGAGGUGGAAAUAGAUAUUUUAUUACAUUCAUUGAUGAUCAUUCUAGAUAUGCUACUUACUUAAUGAAGCAAAAGGACUAAGCUUUAGAGAUGUUUAAAUGUUAUAAAUAUAUUAUGAAAAAUCAAAAGAAAAAGAAAAUUAAGAUUUUGAUAAGUGAUAGAGGAGGUGAAUACCUCUCUACGAAUUUUUCAAUAUACUGUGAAGAAAAUGGUAUUAUAUACCAAACUAGUGCACCAUAUACUCCACAAUAAAAUGGAUUGACUGAGAGAAAAAUAGGACGUUAGAUGAUAUGGUUAAUGCUAUGAUUUUAAAUACAAAAUUACCUUUCAAUUUAUAGGGUGAAGCAUUACUUACAGCGUGUUAUGUGCACAGUAGAAUAACAUCUAGAAAAAUAAAAGUAUCUCCAUAUCAAUUAAGGAAAGGAAGAAGUUCAAAUUUAAAUUCUCUUAGAGUUUGGGGGGUGUUUAGCCUUUUAAAGAGUUCCAAAUCCUAAAAGAUAUAAAUUAGGACCUAGAGCUCAAAAAUGUGUUUUUGUAGGAUAUGCUGAAAAAUUCUAAAGCAUAUAGAUUACUGGAUUUAGAGUCAAAUGUUAUUGUGGAAUCAAAAGAUGUUGAAUUUUUUAAAAACUAAAUGUAUCAAUGAUUCUAAUUCUAUUCUAGAAUCUACACAAACACAAAUAGCAAGCACUAAUUCUAGUAUAUAUUCUAACUAUAAAAGAAAAAUGUUAAUAACUCCUAGUGAGCCUAGGAGGAGUCAAAGAGUUGGAAAAGAAAAGUGUCACGCCCCGGGGUCCCUUUGAAGUUUAAAUAUCGAUGUGGAAGUGCCCAAUUUUUUUUUUUGUUUUGGAAGCCUUGACCCCAGGGAAUGUCAGAUCCGCCACAAAUACAGAAAACCCACGGUUCACAGUGACAGAGUCUCCUCUGUAUUUGUGCGGCGUCACACAAAUACAAAAUACAACAACAGUAUAUUGUAACUGUAAGGUACCGGAUUUCAAAAAUCAUGAGGUUACGGUGUACGUUCGAUUGGAAAGUCAUUUGAAUGGUUUCGGUGAGGUUUGGCGAAGUUCGGAAACUUUCGGGUGUUUCGGUGCGCGUAGGCGUGAAGCUUUCGGGCGUUUCGGUGCGCGUAGGCGUGAAUACGGGACCCGAAAGGUUACGUCGUGCCGUGAACUAAAUCCGGCAUUUGCGUGGAUGAAAACAUGAUGUAAAUACGCUCGAAAUCAUGUUUUGAGAGUCUCGGUUCGAUUUGAGACGAAUCGGAAGUCAAACGGGCGAAAACGGAGCAAAACGGAGCGAAAUAAGCGAAAGCUGAAAAUUGCAGUUUUCUGGUCCAUUGGGGACCGGUCCCUGCAUGGAGAGACCGGUCCCCGAACCCGAAAAUGCCCAUUUUGGGUUGUUUGAGAGGCUAAGAGUUGAGAGGGCUUAUUGCACUUGUUACAUGAGUUGGAGACAAAGAGAGGGGACGGCUCUCUCCCUUUCUCAUUUUCCCUCAACCGUAGCUUCCUCUCUCUCUCUAAAACUCUCGCUUUCUCUCUCUAAGAAGUGGAGCAAGGAAGGAAAGGAGAGGAGGGAUUGGUGGAGAAGAAGCAAGGAAGGAAGACUUCAUCUUCUUCAUCUUCUUCUCUUGGCCAUUGGAGCAACUUUGAGGUAAGCUUCAAAACCCUUUAAUGGCAUCUCUUUGUAGCUUGGGUUUUAGGCUUGGCUAAAUUACAGAAAACUCCCUUGUAAUAACCCGCUUUUUCACUUUCCCUCCCUGACAUUUAAAAACCUACGCUUUGCCCCCCUGUAAAAUAAAAAAUGUGCACUUCACCCCCUACUGUUAGGGUUCUGUUAGGGUUCCGUUAAAAAAUAUAUUUUUAUGCCGAAAAUACCCCUCCGCCAUCUCCCUGUUGCUUCGACUCCCUUUGGCUCGCCAUCUCGCUGCCGCCUCGCCGCCUAGCCGCCUCAUCGUUCUCCACUGCCUCGCCCUUACCCACAUCCUCUUCGCCGUCCUCCGCCGCCUCGCCUUCGCCUUCUUUGCCCUUCUCCUACUAUCACCCACCUCGGUUUUCUCCUACUGUCACCGAAAUCGAGGGCGGCGAGGGUGCAGGAGGAGAAGGGGAGCAGGUGGAGAAGGAAAUGGAAAGAAAUCGCGGCCGAUUGAGGUGGGAAUCGCGGCCGAACGAAGGGACGGCUGAGGAAGAUGGGGAAGAAGACGAUAAUGGCGAGGGGCAAAAUGGUCAUUUUACACACCGUAACCCCCCUGUGAACAUUUUUCAUUUUACAGGGGGGCAAAGUGUAGGUUUUUAAAUAUCAGGGGGGGAAAGUAAAAAAGCGGGUUUUACAGGGGGGUUUUCUGUAAUUUAGCCUUUAGGCUUUAAAGAUGGAUUUAGAAGUAUUCUAGCAUGCUAAUUAGAGGUUUGAUGCUUGAAUCCAAAGCUCUAAUGAUGGAUUUUUACCUAGUAGCAAUCCUAGGGCUUGAAAUGGGUUUCUUGAUAGAUCAUGGGUUUUGAUCUGUACAAGUGGUGUUUUUGGAAUCCUAGGAUGCUAGUAAGAUAAUUAUUACCUAAAUCUUGGAUUGAUUCGGGGUAUUUAGCAUCAAUGGCAUCUAGGGCUUCAAAAAUGGAAUUUUUGUAAAUAGUUGGGUUUGAUCUCUUUUAACCCUCUGUAAACCUAAUUGAUAGGUCGCUGAACGUGUGAGAAGCGACGGUUCGUCGAUUCGUCGAGCGGGUGUGACGUUCCGGCUGAAACAAGUGUUCGUAGCUCAGAGUUGACCCGGGAGCCGAGGCAGCUUCCAUAAAUCGCGGGAUCGGGUUUCGAGCAUCGUGACGAAGAACCGAAGACCUUUAAUUUCCAGAUCGCGGAUCGGAGGUCAUUUGGCAGUCGCGCGUGAGUUGGGUCGAGCCGUGCGGUGUGCGCCGCAGGAGGCCGAUUGCGAGUGACGACGAGCAAUCGGAACGCUAUAAAAGGUGGGUGGUGACCAUCCCAAAGCAACUGGACUCCCUUUUAUGUCUAAGUUUUAUAUUGAUCAAAUUGCAUAUUGACAUCUUGCAUUAUAGGGUGAUAAAUGAUGGUUUGGUCCUAUACCUUGCAUGUUCUUUGGUAGAAUAAUGUAUUUGGCUUAGUACUUAUAUCUAGCAUACUUGAGGUUUAUAUAUGUGAUGUGGAACCCUAUAAUGAGAUGAUAAGUGUGGAUGGGAACUUAGUAAUGUAUUGGCUAUUGCAUUGGAAACUUGUAAAGAAUGAGUGGCAUCUAGUUGAUAGUAAACAAAAGAACAAGUGACAUAUGUGAGUCGUAGCGUAUAUGAAACCUAUGGACUAUAUGAUGAUUGUAACCUUAGAGGACAGGGUAUCCUCGAGCUUAGAGGAUUGGAUCAUGCUCGCGGUCUGUUUUUAACUUGUGAUGGUCGCUCCACACAAGUCGUGCGCUCCGUAGUUGGUCACGCGGGAUGGCCUAUUUGGGGUCCCGAGGGAUAGCGUAUUUGGAGUCCCGCCAGACGGUCUCGGAUUCGUAGUAUGAGUUAAUUCUCCCUAAGCGUCGAGAUGGCUAGUGAGCUGUAGGCGAGCCUUCGGGUAAGCCAUGAGAUUAACGAACAAGUAGAUGAGGUUAAUGAACGAGUAAAUAGCUUUACCUUUGGACAUGAUAACAGGUUAGUUGCUUACCUAUUUCAUUGUACAUGCAUUCAUAUAAUUAUGAUUGGGCAUAGUAGAGUAGCUUUACUUCUAUCAUUUACCGCUUUCCUUAUCUAUCUAUCUAUCGAUUAUCUACUUUUGCCCGCUUGGACCUAGUGGGGAGAUCGGCGGAGUCGGCGGCCGAACCCACUGGGAACUAAGGAAGUUAGUUCUUACCCCCAUUUCAUUACAGGACCGAGUUCGUGUGCGCUAGCCGAGGAUCGCGGUAAGGGCUUAGCGCCCUAGUGCUAGUUUUGAUAGAUGCUUCCUAUUUGCAUUAGAGUUACCUUAUAUACAUUGAGAGUAGAUGAUGUAUAGGUUGUGAGCUAUUUUGGGACGAAUGUAAACUAACGUUUAUACUUUGGAAAAUGUAAGCUUUUAUUAUGUUUUGGAAGUUCAAUGUAUAAUCGAAUUGUAAUCUAAUAGUUGAAUGAAUGUAAUAGAUAGAACUUUCUCUCUUUAUUAUUACUCGUAUGUUCUAUACUUGUAUCUUGCUCUCAGUUGUUUAGCACUGGUUGUGCUCUCGUUGUAAUUAGAUUGUAUAUGUUUUCAAGUUAUUUUCCUGGGAACUUGUUGUACACAAUCUCGUUGUUAGCCUUGGGCGGACAUGGGAGGUGCUGUCCGUCCGGCGUCUGUUCGACGCGCCCGGGCCGAGUCAAAUUGGUAGCGGUUGCGGGGCGUGACAGUAACGACCCAACCCACUGGCAAGAAUAACUCGUUAGGCCCAAUCACAUCCCCAUUCCUAUGCGAUAUGGAAUUAUUGAGGUGUGACAGACUCCCCCCGUUAAAGUCCUGACGUCUUCAUGAGUCCAAUCACACACACAGCCCAAAAUCAUCAGGCGAUGUGAGACUCGUCUCGCUAGCCUUGUCAUCCAAGACCCUGACAUAGCCGGUGACCUUGUCAUACAGACUCCGGCAUAGCCUAUCACCUUGUCUUUCAGACCCUGGCUAAGCCGAGACUUGCCACGCAUUUUCGACUGGUGAUUGGCUCUGAUACCAAAUAUAACGAUCCAGCCCGCUAGCAACAAUAACUCGUUGGGCCCAACCACCGGCCCAAAAUGCUUAGCCCAGUUAUUAUUACCAGUGUCUAAGUCUCUUAUAUACCCAAUCACAUCCCCAUUCCUAUCCAAUGUGGGAUUAUUGGGGUAUGACAAAUAUAUAUAACCAUAUACAUUCACCACAUCACAUAAUCCGAUUCACAUUCAGUCAAUCACAAGAUUACAAUAUUUUAUUCAUAAAUCCACAUCUAUUAGUUUAAAACGUUUUCCAUCCCAAAACUCAUUUUGAAAUACUAAAAAUUAUGAAAAGCGAAAAAAUCUUUUUAAAAUCAUUUCCCACACGAAAACCAUUUUCUUUAAAAAUAAGCUAUCACGAAGGAUAGAAAAUCAUUUUAAUAAUUUCAUAUGAAAACCACAAGUGCUUUAUUUAACUUCACAAAACCAUAUAUAUCCAACAGAAAUGAAACCAAAUGAACCAUAAAACGUCUAAGUUACUUUAUUCGCGAAAAUAAGGUAGAGUCUAAAUCGAAAGUCACUGGGUCGGAACUUUAUCGAUUGCUAACAACGUGCGUCACGCCUCGUCCCAACUCAGUCCAGCAAUGUCACCUGAAGAAUGGUGGAAGGUGAAAACAUGUACACAUGUUUUUCCUCCCAGUGGGUACCGUAAGCGGACGAAGACAAGGGAUACUCACCAGUAAAGGAAGAGAUAACUAUAAGUAUAUGCAACGAUAAUACAGUAGCAAUAACAAAUAAAGAAAACAAGAUAUACAUAUGCCACUGCAUUUAUCACCCCUCCUCUCUCUUCUCUCUCUCUUCUUUUCUCUUCUCUUCUCUUCACAAAUAAGCCCAAGAAACCAUAUAUUUAUAGCCAAAUCCAUGAAACUAGCCAUAACAGGCUAUUGGCAGUUUUCGGGCACUAUAAACCAAUUUAGGCACCUUAAAUCAAUCAACCACUAAACAACUCUUUAUACUAAUUGAACAAAUUUAUAGACACUUUUUGAAUUUUGAGCCCCUGAAACUAAUUUUGGGUGCCCGAGUUAAACAAUUAGGGUCCAUUUAGUUCAACGUAAAACCAUAAAAAAUAAAUCCACGAAAAAAGAAUUCGUGAAAAAAAGUUUUAUGUUUUGUAGUAUUUGGUUUGUACAAAAAAAAAAGUAGUUUUCCACCAAAUUUGUUUGCUUGAAAGGAAAAAACAUUCACACUUGCUUGGUUCAGUGGAAAAAAAGAAUGAAAAAUUUUUUAUGCAGCUUGAGUUUUCAUUUUUUGCCAAAAAAUAGCAGAAAACAAAAAAAAAUAUUUUUUUUCCAAAUUUGUAAAAAUACUUUUACCGAAAAAUAUUUUCACGUCGAACCAAAUAAGUGAAAAAAUAUGUUUCAUACCAAAAAUAAUUUUUUGGUUCAUUUUCUGCCGAACCUAAAGUCCCCUUAACUGAAACAAGUCAGCUCCCACAAAUCUUGAUCAAAUCAUACUUGAUUUGGGUAGUUUUGAAUUCAAAAUUCAAAUUUUGGUUGCCCAAAAAUUUUUUCGAGUGCUUGCUUCUGGUUAUAAUAUUAGGCUCACCACUCCUGGGCAAUAUCUCUAUCUAUGUGCCCUAACCACAGUUUUAGGAUCUCGCAAAACUUUGUCAAACCAAGAAGUAAAAAUAUAUAGUAGGAAAAUAUAAAAGGACAGAUUAUUUUAAAUGUGAAAAAAUUAAUAGAAGAGUUAGGUACACUGAAUGCAGCCCUAGCCAACCAAACCUUCUUUAGCAUGUGAUCAGGCAAUCCAAAGAUGUGAUCCGACCAAUUCAUCUUUAUUUUGCCAUGAUCAUUACACCAAAUAGAGAAGCGUGAUCAGAGAGUAGAAUGUGAGGGAAAGUCAAAAGAAGAAGCUAAUGUGUGGAGUAAGGAAAAAAAAACAUCUAAAACAAAAAUUAGAGAACAGUAAAGUGUAAAUAGAAUGAAAAUAGUUAAGUAAGAGAAUAUAUAUAGCAAAGAAGCAGGCCGGCUUGCAUGCAUAGGUAAUUUAAUUUAAAAAAGUUCAAAAGCUAACAACAAAAGAACACAAAAAGAACACAAAAAAAAAAAGUAUAAUAACUCAAAUAUGUAAAGCCUUUCCAUACAGCAGCAACAACCUUAAAAGCCUUUCACAUAGAUAGAGAGGGCAAAAAGGAUCCAUGUGAGACCCUAGGUAGUCCUAUACAUGAGAUCGAAAAGCGUAUAGGAGAUCCCUCGAUCACUGCAUUCUUGUCACUCUUAACCCGACUUAAGUAUUUUAGGUGGUGUUAGGCCCAAGAGGUUAAGAGAGUUAAGCGUACUAGGACGGAAGUAGUCCUAGGAUAGGUGAUCCCCUAGGAAGUUGGGGCGUCACAAUCCAUUAAAUAAAAUAACAAAUAGAAAGAAAGAGGGAAUAAGUAGGAACAAAAUAAUAUAUAAAACGAACCAAAAAAAUGAAUUCCAAGUAAACACCCAAAAUUUUUUAAAAAAAGAAGCCUAAGGAGGAUAUAUUAAUGCACUGGUAAAAAAAAAACAUAUAGUCAUUGGAAAUAAAUAGUACUGUUAAAAAGCAGAAUAAAAUAAGAUAGUACUAAUUAGUAGACAGGACAUAACAUGUAACAAACAAAGAAAAGAAUAACAGAAAGCACCAUGCGAGUAAAAUUAAAAUAAUUGUAAGGCAAAGGGUAAUCGUACUAUAAACUGCUAAGAGUAAAGUAGGAUAAGACAAAAGGAAAACAAUAUAUGGACCCACAAAAAAUAAAAUCAGAUCAAUUUAGUAUACAUUUAUAUAACAAUUCCUUAAAACUGAGAAGAGAAAUAAAGUUAAGAGAGAUUGUAUCUUGUUGCUCGGCAGCAAAGAUAAAGAAAAAUAUACACUCGUAAGCAAGAAAGUAAAGGUUAGUAAAUGUUGUGUGCUUUUAGAAAGUUGCUAAAUAAAGGUAUUGGAAAAAAUUAUAUCAAAUCAAAUCUAUACACUAUAUCUUGCAAUUUUGAAAUGAGUACAACAUUGCGUUGUGGGAAAGGUUCCCACUAUUUACAAGACUUACUAUUUAACAGUAGAAGAAAAAAUAGAGAGAGGAUAAGUGAAAGAAAGAAAAAAAGGCACAUGCCUAACAAUAGGCCUCAAUGAUUCAGGCCAAUCAAAUUAUCUGCAAGUGGCAUGAAGAAGAAGAUUAUAGACAUCCGCAAUAAUCUUUUUCAUAUCUUGUAAAUCUUUAAACAAUAUAGGCUUUUGCUUUUUUUUCCUCUCUAGUUCAUAAACCUUCAGUAAUCUCCUCUCUAUCAUGUAAAAUCUACAAAGAAUAUAAGUUUUAUCUUUUAUAUGUUUCCUCUAAUUUAGAAUAGGGUAACAUAGGUUUAGGUCAAAGAAGCCAAUAGAGGGUAUCAGGAAGGGGAGGGAGGAGUGGAGGUCACAUCUCAUCACGACUAUCGCAUCGACCGUUGAUGCGGACAAAUCAAGCAAAGUGAGUAGACAGAGAGACAACACUGGAGGAUAAUGAAGAAAGAAUGAGAGAGAGCGCACGCGAAAGAGAGAGUGCGAGGAUAAGAUUUAGAGGCUACCUGUAAUCCAUCUUACUUCCUUAGGUAGGCAAAAUAGACCUAAUCAUGCUGAAGAAUCCCAUCCCGGCCGUCCGAUGGGCAAAUAGAGCAAUCGGAGGGAGGAGAGCGGCCGAUCAACUAUGGAGAGAGAGCAGGAGAGAGCGAGACAUCCAAGAAGGAUGGUAGAGAGAGUAGAGGAGAAAGAUGAGAAAGAUGGGAAAAGAGAGAGAACUGGACAAGAUCAAGAAAAAAGGGAAGAGAAAGACACUCUAGAGAGGGAAAAGGAAAGAGAGAGAGAGAGAGAGAGAGAGAGAGAGAGAGAGAGAGAGAGAGANUUAUUAGCAUGCCACUUUGGAAAAGAAAGAAAAAUCUUGCCACAUGUAAUGAAGGAAUUGUCGAUUAAUAGUGGAAAGAUUCUAGAAGUUGAGUAGGCUAGUGGACCCUUGGAUUGAGGGCCCCACGCAUGACAAUGCAUGGCCCCCUCAUAUCCAAUGCAUUUUUGCUAAUUUGGCAAGCCGAAAUAACAAAAAAUUAUGAUGGUAAGUCUAGGUCCUAGACAACACAUAUAGUUAUGUUUGUUAUAUAUUAAAUAUGAUUCUCUAUGUAAUGCAAUAUCUAUAGUUUAGAAUAAAUGUGCUUGGAUCAUUCAUUUUAACAAAAUUUAUAUUAGACGGGACUGGGUUCAACAGAAUAUAGUUGAGAACCCUACAUUAACUAUCCAUCACACUUUGAUAUCCGCGUGUGGUGCUUCAAACACUACAAUAAAUUGGAGCUCUGUCGAUGCUUUUUUGGGGAUGCUUCAUCAAAUCAUCGAUGAGUCCUAACUUCUUCCAUACGCUGUCAAUGCUAAAUAAAAGCAUUGACAAGAUUUUAGACGCCAAAAAAUAUUUAUGUGCGAAACCUUUUCACAUAGCGCCAAAAGGUGGAAAAAAAUGCCUUAAACAUCUUUCUUUCUAUAUUUCUAUUUUCACUUUUCCUCUGGGCCCUUUCCUAUUUGCACUGUCAUUUGUAGGUGGAGAAGAAGGUGCUCUCCUGGGGCCUUUCCUAAAAAUUCUUUUUCAUCGUAGUGAAGACAUGGAGAAGGAGAUGAUGUCUUGAGCCCUUCUUCCCUACUAUUGUGAGUAGCCUUGAGUGAUCGUGAGUGUUGCCUUCUCACAAGGGCGGUGUUGUCCUACUUUUCUUCUAAUUUUUUCUUAUUUUUGGAAACCCUUCCUUGUGUAAACACAUUUUUCCUAAUUUUCUUUUGAUUUUCUUCUCGAUUUAGUUCUUUUUCUUAUGUGCUUCUCCAAAUUUGUUUAAAAUAGUUUUAUAUGUUAGAAUUUGAUAACAAGAAUUUUUGUUUUUUUUUUUUUGAGACUCUGUAUGCACAUUAGAAAAAAGAUUCAAUUUUUUAGUUUGUAGUGUUUUAACAUGGUGGGUUCUCUUAAUCAAAAAAUCUGCUUUGAUAUAUCCUAUAAAACAUAUUUGUCACCUAAUUAAGAAAUAUUUUUAGUCAAUAUUUUUAAUAAAACAAGAUAACUUAGCAUCUUUUUUCAUUUAAUACCUUUCUAAGAAUCCUAGAUUGCCUUUAAGUUUUUGUUUAAUACAUGAAGCUAGCCAUACAAUUACUUUUUUGUUCCAGAUAAGCUUUGUUAUGUUGAAAUGUCGAUUCACAAGUAGCACUAAACUACUGAAUAAUAGUUUUAAAUAUUUCAUGAAUACAAUCGUUCCUUACCAACACCAUCAGCAUUGUUACCUGCUCGACAAGCUCAUUGGUAGUAGUUAGUCAAAGCAAUAUUUUUGGAUAAGAAACUUUUGCAAUUCUAUAGUGAGGAAAGCAAAAUCUUCCUGGUAUUGUAAUGCUUAUUAUUUUGCAUUGUUUCCUGUAUGUUUCUUUUAGUUUUGUGGUAUUUUAUCUUUUUCUCUUUGUUGACAUAGGAAGUUGUAGAAUUUCUUACUUUUGACUUGCAAAAAAGCUAUGAUCUCUCCUUUUCAUUAAUUCUUUUUUUGUAUUAGUUGUAGGUGAAUUCUUUUUAUGAUUGUAAUUGAAUUCAAAAUAUAUAAUAAGUAAGUGUAUUACUGAAGUGCUGAGUUUUGAAUAAUAAGAAGUAUUAAUGUCUAAUCUAAUUGAAUAUGAAAUUUAGAACAGUUCAUUAUUUUAUGGUUUUUUUGUUGUCGGCACCGGGCUCAAUUUCAUAUAGCUAACUUCCCUUUCUACCCUAAUUUUAAAAGUUGAGGCUGAAGUUUUGGUUUCUUAUUUUACAUUUUUUUGUAAACAUAUGGAUCAAUCAUAUAGAUUAUAAUACAAUGGACAAAGUUGGAUAAACAAGCUGAGAAAUGAUAAUGCAUGCAUUAAUGGUGUUAGAAAUUUUAUUGAAUUUGCUAUGGAGAAAUCAUUGAUGAAUGGCAAGUUUCUAUGCCCAUGUCGAAAAUGUUACAACAAUUUCUUUUUUUAUAUAAGAAGUUGUCGAAGAACAUUUGGUGUGGAACAAUUUUUUAUUAGGUUUCAAUGUUAGGGUAUUUCAUAGAAAAUCAUUUGUUACAUCUCUAUAUGAAAUCGAAUGCACUUUAUUUGCUCCAAGGUCUACUAAUGUACAAGAAAGUAGUUCAAGACAAAAUGGUCUAGGGGGAUUGCUACAAGAUGUCUUUGGAAUCAAGGAUAUUAAUUUGAAUAAGGAACAAUUAAUGAAUGCACUACUACAAAUUUAUGAUUUAGCGGCUGUAACACACUGGACCUUUGCAAAUUGCAAGGUUCGAGUAUUUGAUCUGUAUUCCGAGUUUUUUCGGGUAUUCUGGAAGGUCGUUGACAGUGUUCUGACCUAUGGCUCGCAUCCCGAGAAUCGAGAUUUAAAACUUAGCACUAAAAUCUCUAAAGUGAAGAUUUUAGGCUACUCUCGGGUUGGACUCUGCAGAGCAAAAUACCGGUACUGCAUCGGGCCCGUACCAGAACUGGACCUGGUACCGGUACAACAGCGGGCUGGUACCGGUACCCAGUGUAUUUUUCUCCGAACCCGAGGCUCGGGUUUGUGCAGACUGCUGCUUGGUAUACUGGUACUCUUUCCCGCGUUCCGGUACGCAGUGCAAUGCAAACUGCACGUAGUUGGAGGGUGUUUUUGCAAAUAUUGCAACUCUUUAUAACCUCUCCACAGCCUCUUGAGGACUCUUUUGAGCCCUAGAACGUGGAGGAACAGGUGAGGACCCUCUUCCUUGGUUUUUCUCCCAUUUUUCUUGGUUUUAGCUUAGUUUGAUCCAUUCUUUUUGCUUCUCUUUGCUCUAUGUUGGUUUUCCCACCUUGGAGAAGCCUUGGAUUGAGGAGAGGAGCUUUCUAGAGGAUCAAUCUUCAACCUUAACUCAUUCCAAGCUUGGAUUGGAGCUUCUUGAGAGGUUAGUACCUUAGAUCUUCUCUUUAAAUCUUGUUUUGGUGGAUUUCUUGAGAUGAAACUCUAGAAUGAGAAAUCUAUGGUUUUAUUUGGGGAUUUUUGAUUAGAAACUUUUGGAGCUCAAUUGAUUCGUUUAGAACCUUUAUUUAGGUUAGAUUUGAAGGGACCUAGCUCUCAUUUGGGAUUUAAGAGAAUUUUUCUACAUUAUAGGUGAGUUUUAACCCUUUUCUUGGGUUGGUUAAAGUUGAUCGUAGGAGUGUUCGUUCUUUUCGCUUAUCCCUUUUAGAAUUAUUUUUAGGGAGCUAGGAGGCUAGUGGACACCUUCGUCGGCGCAAACGACGGGGAUUUGAGGAGUCUUGGUGGGUUUGACCUCACCGAUAUGAGAAAAAUUUUACCUAUGUCAUUUUAAUUGUUGUAAAAUAGAAAACCAUGCAUAUUCACGCUAGAUAAGGCAUAAGUGAAUUUUAGAAUGCUUAAGAUGCGUAUUAUGUUUCAUAAAAAUUACCUCUAUAUAGUAGAGAGAGAUGUACAUUGUUAACAUGCAUGAGAAUAACAUUCUAUUAUAUGGUUUGGAAUCAUGUUCUUGCAAUGGAAAUGACUAAAAUAACAUGCUCUUAGACUUAGAACUCUUGUGUGACAUAGUGGACAAAAAAUGCCAUAAAGGGGCAUUCAACAUAGUAAAUGUUUAACUUCUACAAGAUGACAUAGUAAUAGGUCAUUGGGGUCACUAGCUCUUAUACCAUAUAUUAGACAUGAUGACUUUAGACUUGAGACAGAUGAUUACGCUUGCUUGUCAUUGUGCUCAUUCGCACAUGCUUGUGAGGGUCGCUCCCCAUAAGCCGGCACUCCGGAGAUAGCCAUCACGACAUAAGCAUGCCCGUGCGGGAUUCGGCGCCGAAAUAGGAUACCGUAGGGGAGGCUCAUUCCUAGGGUAGGAAUGUUGACUACCACGGGGCCAUUAGGUACGGCGCAAGCCGAACUACCCACGGGUAGGUCCUAUAUGAUCGGAACAUUAUUGAACUAAAAUGCAAAAUGGAUAUUAGACAACUUAGUAAACAAUGACAUUUUACUAGUUGCACUUGUGUACUUUAUGUUGGUUAUAACUAUGCAUAUUCAUGUUAGAAUAGCAUUUAUAUUUGUGGAAGUACAUGCUAAAGUAGAUGCAUAGUAGUCAGUACGUUUAUUCAUGUUUUAUCUACAUAUUGUUCUUUUCAUUUAUUAGUUGAUCAUACUACUUUUGCCUUUUAGCCUAGUGGUGCUUUUCGCUGAGGUCAGCAAUUGCCCACUGAAAACUAUUGAUUAAUAGUUCUCACACCCUCUAUUUUGUUGUUUUCUUACAGAGCCAUCCGCACCGGUGAAGGCUCGGGAUUGUGGCAAAGGGAUCGCUUAGCUAGCUAGCGAGGAGUGUUUGCUUUUAGGUGGUCAUCUCUCAAUUUUUUUUUUUUGAAUUUGUGUAGAGAGCGAGAGUUUUUGGUAUCCAUGUACAGAGACCACCACUAUUGUAUCUUUGGUAUUUGUAUUUUGGAUUUUAUGAUGUACUACUUCAUGGUUUUAUUAGUGGAUUAGUUCUUUUAUUUACCUCCUUAUUCUAGAAUCCAGUUGUUAUAUUCUCUGAUACUCUUAGAUGCUUAUUUGUUAUUGCUUUAUUUAUCUCUUUGUUGUAAACGCUUUAUAUGUUGUAGGCAUAUGGCGGGUCUGGACACGCACCGGGCGGGCUUCCGCUGGGUCCCGGGGCGUGACAGCGGUAUUUACUCCGCAGCAUUUAUUUAAAUAACACUAAUUAAUAUAUUUAACAGCAUUACUUGAUAAGUGCCGCUAGAUUUAAUAAUUUAGCAGCAAUUUACUAUUAAUGUUGCAAAAUAGAAUAAAUUAGCAGCAUAAAUUAGUGAAUGCCGCUAAAAUUUUCAGCAUUUUAUAAAAAAUGACACUAAAUGUAAUAAAGUAGCAGCACUUAUUGCUAAAUGCCACAAUAUUUGCGUCGCAACAUUUAUUUAAAUCAUGCCAAUUAUUAUAUUUAGCAGCAUUAUUUGCUAAUUGCCGCUAGAUUUAAUUAUUUAGUAACAAUUUACUAUUAAUGUUGCAAAAUAGGAUAAAUUAGCAGCAUAAAUUAGUGAAUGCCACUAAAUAUAAUGAACAAGCAGCACUUAUUAAUAAAUAUCAGUACUAAUUAAUAUAUAGUUAUUAAUAUAUCCCUUUUUAAUUAGAAUUAAAAAUUUAAAAAUUAAAGUUCAAAAUUCAAAGCAUAUAAUUUUAAAAAUUAAACUUAUAGUUUAAAAUUUAUAUUUUAAAUUUUAAAUUCAAAAAUUUUUAAUUUUUAAACUUUAAAUUUUAAAUUUUUAAAUUCAUAAAUUAGUGAAUGCCGCUAAAUAUAAUAAACAAGCAACACUUGUUAAUAAAUAUCAUUAUUAAUUAAUGAGAUGGCAAGAUGACGCAUUAAAGAUGGAAUGAAUUAUUUGAUGCUCAUUGUCUUGAUUUUUCUUCUGAACAAUGAGUACCACUUAUAGCAUUUGGCCGAUGAUAUUGAUUCCUUAUAAUUUACCUUCGUGAUUAUGCAUGAAACAGUCAUCAUUUAUCCUAUUAAUAGUCAUUCCCGAUAAAAUAGGUCCAGAUAAUUAUAUUGAUAUUUAUUUGAUCAUUGAGUCGGCCAAAUGUACUUCCUUAGAAAAUGAGCGAGGAGUAGAGCGGCUACUGAUAAUGAGCCUCGAAGUUUGCGCCCACAAGUGAAUAAGAGAUUUGGCUGAUGAGGAAUCAGACCAACCGAGUUUAGAUACCAUACUGUAGAUUCGGUUCGGCUGAAGAGCCAAAUGAUACUUAUGUGUAUCGCCGGAAAAAAGAAAAUAUUUAUAGAAAGGGGUAUCCCGCAAUGGCAUCUGGUCUUAAAAGAAUUUCUAACUUAGAACUACUCCUAGAAAAGUAAGAAAUAUGAAGGAAAGCAAAAAUUACAAGUAGACUAUUCAUAGAAAGCGAAAGAAAUUCGUGAAAAAUAAAUUGGUCUUCUUAUUCUCGAGGAAAAAAGACUUCUUCUGUUAGGCGUCUCUUAUCUAUUUAUAAUUUCGCCCGUUGUUAUUCAGUUAUUCCCCUUGAUUGGCCAUAUUCUUGAUUUUGUGGGCCACUAUCGGUCGAUCAACUGUUUUUCAGUUUUAGGUGCAAUUUUCUCUGCUCCUGGCGCACCACAUGUUACUUAUCUCUGGCUUUAAGGCUGUUUUCAUGCGUUGCAUUCUAAUUCACCACAUGGUGUAAAUUUUAUGGCGUAAACACAGAGUUAAAAUAAUUAUGAGAUGGUGUUGAUCCUUCUAUUAAACAAACCUUUAGAGGCCGUUUGGUUGGGAGGUAAAGGGAGGAUAAGCGGGUUAUCCCCCCUUAUACCCAAAUAAAAAAAAGGGGUGGAACAACUAUCCCACCCCUUAACGGGUUAUGCGUGGGAUAGUUGUUCCCACCCUUUGUGGGAAUAAGGGUGAGAACAACUGUUCCCACUCUUAUUUAAUUUUUAAAAUUUAUAUUUAAAAAUUUUAAUUUUAAAAUUUAUUAUUUGUAAUUUUAAAAUUAAAAUUUAUAAUUUUAAAUUUUAAAUUAAUACUUUAAAAUAUAAAUUUUAAAUUGAUAUUUAAAAUUUUUAAAAUUAUAAUUUGAUAUUUAUUUUUUAAUUUAGAUUUAAUCUUAAAUUUAAUAUUUGAAAUUUAAAAUUAAGAACUUUGAAUUUUUAAAUUUCAAAUCUAAAAAUUUUAAUUUUAAUUUUAAAAUUUUGAAAUUUAAAAGUUAUAUAUUUAAAUUUAGAAAUUGAGAUAUAAAAUUAAAAUUUUAAAUUCAAAUAUAAUAUAAGGGGCAAUAUCAUUAUUUUCAAUUUAUAACUACUCAUAAUUCUUUCUAUUCCAUCUUAUCUAUCCCAACACUAUUUUUCUUAUUUCGGAAAACAAUUCAAUUUUCAUUUAAAUGCAAAAUUGGUAUAUUUCAGACUUAUAUCUGAAAUUAUACCUAUCCCUGAAAUAGGUAUUUCUUACUUAUACCCGAACCAAACGAAGCCUUAACAUGAAAGGAGAUCUUAUAUAAAUUAUGACUGAAUUUUUUGUUUAUGUUAAGAUUCAGAUUGAUAUGAUUAAGAUUACUUAUGAACAAAUUAAUUUGAAUACAUGAUGGAUCUGCACUGAAAUAAGUCUCAACAAGAUUAUCUAGUAAAUUUUUCUCCUGCUGUUUUCUUCAUAGCUCUCUCUCUCUUUCUCCCCCUCUCUCACUCCAUUAAGUUUGUUCAAGAGAAAUCCUUCAAAGGGAAACCCCAUGGGCUCCCUCCACCAACACAUUCUGUCAAUCUAUCUCCCAAAAACUGCUUUCUUUUCAAAAUCUCCCGCCAACCUCUUGCCCGCCAUUGCCCACUCCUGCUAGUCCCUCAAAACCGGCUACUCCCGGUAAACCCCUCCCCUCUCCCGGUCACCCGAACCGAACUGGAAAACAAAAAAAAAAAGGAAAGGCAAAAAAGCAAAAAAAAAAAGAAAAAAGAAAAAAAAGAAAAAAAAAGCGAAAAACCUCACUCCCCUGAAUGCAUAAGCAUUCCUCAAACCGACGCGCGGAAGCGAUUUCUCCUCACCUCGAAACCCUAAGUCUUUCAUUUCUCAUCUCCUCUUUCCAUAAUCUCCUAAAAUCGCGAAUUAGGGUUUUGCGCCAUGGAUUGGUAAUGGAGUCUAGGGUUUCGUUGUAGCCCUAUUUAGUGCUCUUGUGGGGGUUGGAAUCGAAGUAGCGUUUUUGUGUGAUCAUGAGCGCCGUCAACAUAACGAACGUGACGGUGUUGGACAACCCCGCCGCUUUCCUCAACCCUUUCCAGUUCGAGAUAUCGUACGAAUGCUUGGUUCCCCUCGAGGACGGUGAGUUUCUCUUUGAUUUCUCUUAUGUUUGGUUCUUAUUUUUGUUUUGGAUGUAGCAUGUUUGAUUGGUAGUGCUUUGAAGUUGUUUCUCUUUGAUUAGGAAAUGGAUAGGUGAUUUAAAGUUGUUUCUCUUUGAUUAGGAAAUGUAUAGGUGAUUUUAAAGUUGUUUCUCUUUGUUAGGAAAUGGAUAGGGGAUUUAGGGUCUUUCUCUUUAAUCAGGAAAUUGGUAGUGAUUUAUUGUGCUCUUAGGGAUUUAGCAUGUUCAGGAAAUGAAUAUUGGUUAUAGAGAAGGGAUGCCAAAAAUUUAAUUUAGGAAUACCGUAUGAGGAGUAACGAGAUUGAUUUGGUGAUGUGAGUAUUAGUGUUGUCGUAGUUUAGUAUUUUAGUGUUUUAAUUAGUUUGACCAAAUGCAGAGGUGUAUUAUUGAGCUAGAUUCAGAUGCUAGAGUGCUCAUUAGACAAUCAAAUUUGCAAGGCUAUUGGUAGCUUCCUCCCAUUAGUGUUCUUGCUGAGCAUCACCGAUGCUCGAAUGAGUGGUUGCAGUUUGUGUCGUGGUUGCAGGAAUUAGUAGUGAUGCAGCUUUGAUUCUCAAAAACCAAGAAGGUAGUUUUUGUUGUUUUUUUCUUUUUUUUGGAAUUUUUAGACAAACUUUGCUCUACAUAAUUUUGUUGGUUGAUAGGUAUUCCGUUAUUUGAUACUUGUAAGUCUGACUAAACUGUUUCAUGGGAAGAUCAUUUUUUGCGGAACUUUCUUUCCAUGUAGAAGUUUUUAAAUAAUUGAAAUAGUUAUGCGUAUUGGGUGCCAAAGUGUCUUACUUUUGUACUACACUAACUUAAGAGUCUGUUUGGCUUGAUUAAAGCUUCCAGAUAUUUUUUGUGUAAAGUUGUUUGAAGAAGAUUUAAAACUUUUUUGAUUAAACCUUAUGUGUGUAAUAGCUUCCCAUUGUAAAGAGAAGCAAAAGCUUUAAAAGAAAGUUGCUUUGGGGCUUUAAAGCUCAUUUUAGCUUUGCGUGUACUAGAAACUCUAAACCUUUUCAUUGCCAAAUGUUUGGUUUCUGCUGCACGAGUUGGAAGGUUGUUUCGGAAGCUAGUCUAAAAUGGCAUCUAGGAAGAGUUUUAAUGCUUUAAGGCUUCUUUUAGUAUUGUUAUUUAAUUUAUUUCAGCCUGAGGGGUGAGCAAGGAUUUAAGUGCCGUGGUACGGGGUUGUGCUGGAAACUUGCCGGCACGGUACAGCACGGUGCGUGUAGAGCCGUGCCGAUACGUGGCGGUCAAAAAAAUUCUUGUGUGCCGACACAUAAUAUCAUGAAAUAUUUAUUUUCUUUAGCAACAAAAUAUUCUAACUAUUUAUUAUGUCUUUUUAUCACAUAUUUUGAAUUUUAUUGAGCAAAUUACUUAUUAAUUUAAAGAAUAGAGGGUUUUGAGCUGUGCCAUUGGCACGGGGUCUGUAUCGUGCUGAUAUCUUAUUGGCACGGUACGACACGGUAUAUACGGCCUAUGCCGACGGGCACUUAAAACCUUGGGGGUGAGGGUUUUGAAAGCGUACUUUGUAGAUUUCUGCUUCUCGGUUCAAUUAGUUGGAGAUUAGGGGUUGACUAGUUGUAGAGGUAUAUACCAACCGGCAAAAUGGGAUGACCAAUUGGCUGUGCUUUAAGCUAUGCAGAAUCUUUCCAUAGGCUGAAAUGCUUUGGUCUAAGAUAGUUGUUGUGCAACAAAUUGAUGGUGCAUUCCGGUUAAGAAGGUAGGCUAGAAUUAGGGCAAGGUUAUGGAGGAAGAGAAAUGUUUAGGAACAAAGGAGAUUUUAAUGUUUCAAUGCUCAUCACUUUUGAAUAAUACAAUACUUUAAUUAUGCAUUAAAGAUUGUUUUACUGGUUGUAACAUGUGCCAUAAUUCAACAAUUUUAGUAAAAUACUAAUGCAUAAUGAUCAUAAUAUAUAGUUUAAGCAAUAACGGAAAAAAAUGGUACCAAAUUAAAUAUUUUGUAACGAUCAUUUAAAUAAUUUUUUUUUUCAAUUUCAUUUAAAAUAACUUGUAGUUGGUUAGUUUAAUUGGUUAUGUUAAUUUAGGUUAAGACGUUUUAAAUUGGAUCAAAUUUGUAUUUAUUGCAGUUGAUUAAUGCUAACUGUCUGUAGUCCAGUCGAGCUGAUAAAUGACUUAAUUUGAGUGAUUUUCGGUUGAGUCCUACUCUUUUCUUUGGAUUUUGGAUCAAGUUUUUUCCAUAUCUUUUAGCCAUAUGCAGUAUUCUUGUUAUGAAAGUUGCUUAAAAUAUGAGCUCCCAUGGGAAAAAAGGUGCAGUGCAGUUUGUUCUGCAAAAACAGUCGACAUUUUUUUGAGUUAAAAGCUCUAUGACUUCUUCUGAUUGUCUUGACUUAUAUUUAUUUAUAUACAACAAAGGGGAGAUUUGAAACCAUGUCUUAUGUUUGUUGGACAUAAAUUUCAAAUUAUUUUCUUGGUUAUAAACCACUGUCUUCCUUCUUCCUCCUUUUUAUUUUCGUUUUACUGUCCGUUUGAUUAUAUCCCUCAUUUCUUCUUUACUUGUCCUAUGCUUUGCUGAAUAUCACACAUUCCAGUGUCAAUUUGAAUCCUAAUUUUAGUUUUUCUUAUUUUCUCUCUUUUUUAGAGCAAACCUCACCUUUUGUUGCGAUUACUUCGUGCAAAAUCUAUGAUGUUUGGAUCUGACCAUUCACUCUUUAACUAACCUAGCCUUAAUAAGUUUGCAUUGAAUUGUUUUAUCAGUGCGCAAAUUCUGCUGGAAUUGCUUGUAUCUAACCAUGAAAGUGUAUCCUUAUUAGCUCCAACUUUACUGCGAACCUAAAUCUACUUAAUUGCAGAAGUUUACUUUCAUAUUAACCUACCUUUUCUGAUUUCAGAAAGUCCCCUAAUAUAGUAAGGUUUAAUGGCCUCUAUAAUUAUUUUGACACAAUCUUCUGUAACUUGAUAGCAUAUCCUUUGAUGGUUACAGAAGCCGUAAGUUCAAUAUUGGAUGGAAUUUUGAAAUUAAGCAAUACAUUAGUUUGUUGUUUCUUUUUUUUUUGUCGUUUUUAUAAUCUAGUGUUUGAGUUUUUCUUUUUCUUUUUUAUUUCUUUUCUGCACUCGGUCUGGGGAAGGGCUGGGGGCGUUUCAUUUUGUUAUCAGUAAAUGACAAAGCAGAUAACUUGGUAAUUUUUCACAAAACUCCCAUUGUAAGACAAAGAACGUUGAAAGGCCCUUGCAAUUGCUAUCUAGCAGCUCCUGGUGCUAUGGAUACAGAUUGAUCAACUACUUUGCAAGUUCAUAGAGGAGCUAUAAUUAGAAUUUGACAAUGGGUGUACACAACUUAAACACAAGCAAGUUAAGCGAAGUCCAGCUCAGUUCUUUUAUUCGAGCUGAUAUCAAGUUAGCUCAUUUACUUUUGGCAGACUUGAGCUGGUCAUGAAUAGCUCAUUUAUAUGUUUAGCUCAGAUAAAUAUUAUUAAGGUUUUUGUAUGAAUUUUGGUCAAGUUUAUUGAAUAUUUAGUUUAACAUCAAAAUCACAUCGUAUUACUAAUGAUAAACUAAGAUUCUCUUUCGUAUAAGUAUCACAUAACAAUAUCUGUUAUGAUAAAUCUUGUUUGAACAUGAGUGAACUAAUGUUAAACUCAUGCUUGGCUCUUUUUCUUUCGAGCAAACUAACUAAGCAUGCCCUUGUCUAGCCAAAAUUUCAGCCAAACACGAGAACUGCCCUAAAUUUGACAGAUAACCAACUGAGAAGUCCUCUUACAACUUCAUAGUGAGAAUUUUGCACAUGAUUUAAGUCAAGCAUCACUAGCAACCCCCCGUUGAAAAUUUGUUCUUGUAUGUCUUUGUAGAUCCGACCAACCUGAUCCACGUUGUGGAGGUAUUUGUUCUCCUUGCUACUCCACCACGUUUAUCAUGAUUAAAAAGUGGUGUUGAAGCCAGGCAGUUUACAAUGCAACUCAGAUUUUGAAUUCUUGUCAAAUUGUAAACUUUUCGACCAUUUAAAUCAGACAUGAAAAGAUCUAAGGGAUAAAAUUACAUAGCAGAACUGAAUUGUUCUGUGCCAAUGUGAAAGUUAGGCUAAUUAAGGCUAAUAUUGUGUUUUUGUUUUGUUCUGUUUAAUUCGAUUUCCAUUUAGUUUGUUAGUGGCUUAAUAUGGAGUUGAGCUGUAUGUCUUAUUUGGAAAUUUUGGAUGAGUUUUCUGUCUGUAUUCUUUAGGGAUAAUAGAAAGUUUAAAUUAGAGAUGUCACUUAAAUAGAAACGCUAUUGGGAAAGAUAUUACAUUCCUUUCGAGCUAGUAAAUUAUUUUAGGAAGUAAAUAUUUUUAUGAAGAAUAAAAUGCUUUUAGAUUUCUUCAUGUGAUCAUUCGACUUCUUACCCUAUGGGGUGAGUUGAGAUCUAGAAGCUUGUCUUGCAUUUGCUUAAAGUUAACAAUGAGAUGAUGUACCGACCGUCCCUAGUGCAAGUGGCAAAAGGCUUGGUGGUUGGUAUCCAAGGUCCAAAUUCGAAUCCUAGUUGAUUCACAUUUCCAGCUAAGUUUAUUUCUAAAUGAAAUAAACAAAGUGGGUAGCAUGCUACCUAUCUCUUAAAAAAACAAUGAGAUGAUGUUUUCUAGGCCAUGAGUCACUUUCUUUUUCCCGGCUAAUCAUUCUCUUUAAUCCUUCUAUUCAUUUCAAUUUUUUUUUUCCAUUUUUUGGAAAUCUCAAAUUCCUCUAUAUAAAUUCUACAAAACACUAAAUCUCUUGCAGAUUUUUGUCCUUUAUUGCAAUCAGUUAUUUCUGAGUAACUUCGAUAAGAAACUGUUCUCUUGCCAUUAUUAAAUCUGGUCCCUCUUUCUAUCUUGCAGCCAAACUUUCAGAGCAUGAUUAAAGUUCAGCUAAAACUAUGGAAUUGGCACAGUAUUUGGUUUAUUUUUCCUUUUUCGGUGCUGGUUUGGAAAUAGGGUUCGAUACCAUUCCAACAUUAGGAUAUUUCGCCCUUGUUUUGCAUUCUCCAACUUUUUUCACUCAAAUUCUAUGCAAUUGAAAUCAUCUAGUGAUGGACUUCUCUAAUCUUGUUAUUGUUGGUUUCUUUGCCAUCACUUAAAAAAAAAGGGAAAACUUCAAAUACCACCCUUGUGGUUGCGCGCUUUCUCACUUUAGUACCCUAUGGUUUAAAGUGUAUCACUUUCGUACCUUGUGGUUUUAUUUUUCUCUUUUUAUUAUCCCUCCACUUUUUUUUCGUUAAAUCAGUGACAAAGUUAAAAUUAAAGGAUACUAAAGUGAAUAUAUGAUAAAUUAUUGGUGGGGUAUUUGAAGUUUUUUGUAUACGAUUUAACAAAAAGUUAACGGAGGGGCUGACGAAAAGAGAAAAAUGAAGCCACAGGAUACUUAAUUGAUACACUUUAAACCACAGGGUACUGAAGUGAGAAAGUGCGAAACCACAGGGGUGGUAUUUGAAGUUUACCCUAAAAAAAAAUACAAAAUAAAAAGGGAAAGACAAUGGUACUAAAUUUUUGUUUUCUGUUGCUAGCAGAACCCAUGGAUGUAGAUUUGUUAAUAAUCCAACAAUAGCAAAAUUAAGGUCGUCUCAUGUCUUCAAUUGCACAAUUUUUAAUGAAUACAAAUAUGGAAAAUUUAAGGAAUAUCAAAUAAGGCCUGAGCUUUUGGGUAGAAUAAAUAUAAAAACUUGGCUUUGAAAUGUUGGGAUGAAAGUAGAAACAAGCUCAUACGGCUAACUUUAUUUAUACUUUGAUCUCGUUAAGAAGCUUGUAUGGCUAACUUUAUUUAUACUUUGAUCUCAUUAUGCACUGGCGACAUGAAACCUCGCCAUCUUCUUCAUGAAGUAGCACAAUACGAUCUAGUAUAUCAAAAAUGCUAUGAAAUUUAAUUUCUAUUAUGAUUAUUCCACUUUAUAUUGGAUAUUAUAUUUUGAAAAGCGUUGAGAAUAUUUCAGCCAACAUUCCAAAACGGCACCAUAGACUGCUGACGCCACCAGAAAUCAACACUCGAGGAGCCUGGCCAAAACCAAAAGUGACAUUUUGAACAUUGGCAAAGUCGAGCAUCAAGGUUUCAAAUGAAGCAAACAGGAGUUGAGGAGGUUUCUAGAAAUAUUCACACACAAAACAAGUAUAAAUGAACUUUAGUGUCAAGAGCUGAUGUUCCUGAUCGUUUUUAAUUUGAAUGAAACAAACUGAUCCCUUGACAGUUGCCUUACCCCCUUUAUGCUUAAAGAAAAGUUACUAGAAGGCAGAAAUAAAAAAUGGUAAGGGUAGGAACAAAACAAUUUACAGGAUGACUAGCAGCCAUUGAUUCCACAAUGUAAAGCUUUUCUUUGAGAUCAAGUAACUUUCUGUAUACCUGUAUCAUUUGAUGAUAAUCAAGUUAAGUGACAAAAAUCAUCUUUAGGUGUCUUAGAGAAUUUCAAUUAAUGAAAAUGGAUGGAUCAUGGAUGUAUUGGAAAGUCGAACCCUACUCAUGUAACUUCCUAUGUGACUUUAUAGAGUGGCUUAAGGCCCUAUGUGUGACUGUAUAGAGUGGCUUAAGGCCCUAGGCCAUUUAUUAGCUUAAUGUAAUUUCGGACAACUACUUUCGUUCUGGCCAAGUUAUCUGAGAUAACUUCUUAAGGAUUGGUUUGAAAUGCUUGAACUUGAAUUUGCUAAGUGCAGGCAUUACAAACCAGAAAUGAGCUUCUCAUCUUGCAGAGUUGAUUUAAUUGGGCUGGCAAAAUGGUUCAUGUAUACUUCUUCCAUCAUUAUUUUGGCGUGAGGGAAAAUGUAAUUUUCUUUCAUGUUUCAUGGCUAUAACUUGACGAACUCCAUUUGAAGUCUCUGAAUGAUACUGUUGUAAGUCUAUAUAGGCCACCAUCACCGUGUGCCAUAUUUUCGUAUAAAAACUACUGAUUGGCUCUGUGAGCUCUCUGAGAAUCAAUAUUGAGAACCAAUCAUUUAAUAUUAGGUUUUUAAGUAAACGUUUUUAGCUUGUUGCCCAGUUCUUUGAUGAACUAAUUAACUGUGCUAUGCAAAUUCUCUGCUUGUAACAAAUGAAAAAUUUGUGCGGCCUGGUAAUAAUGCUAAUCUACUGGAUAAGCGUAACAUGGUCGAUCCUUCAUUUAACAUUUGAAGGACAUCUGCUGGGACUCUGCCUACAUCGAGUCUUAUGCGCUCCCACUAUUGUGAGUUUAUGUGCUAAAAAAUGCAUAAAUCUCGUGCAAAUCCUAUUGAUUUUAAUCCCUUUUUUUUUUUUUUUUUUUUUAGCGAUCUAAGGAUCUGACAAGAUUGCUUAGAACUUAUUUGUUUGGUUAUUCUCUUAUUUUAUUCUUGUAAUUCUACUUAACAAUAUUAAUAAUGACUGUGGGAUUCUGUUUACGUGGCUUCUCAUUUUCUAAUAUCCUAGAUUUGAUAAGCGUUUAUCUAACUGACAAAUCAUUUUCCUUCUCAAUCCUUCAGAUUUGGAAUGGAAACUCAUAUAUGUUGGAUCAGCUGAAGAUGAGACAUACGAUCAAUUACUUGAAAGUGUGCUUGUUGGUCCUGUUAACGUUGGGAACUACCGUUUUGUUUUCCAGGUAAAUUAAGGAAAACUUGAUUAAAUUUGUCAUUAAUUUCAUGUGCCAGCUCCAAAAUCUAAUAUCAAAAACUUCUAAUCUCUUUCAGGCUGAUCCACCUGACCCAUCAAAGAUUCGUGAAGAAGAUAUAAUUGGUGUCACUGUGCUUCUGUUGACUUGUUCCUACAUGGGCCAAGAGUUCAUCAGAGUAGGUUACUAUGUGAACAAUGAUUACGAUGAUGAGCAACUGAGAGAAGAACCGCCUCCGAAGGUGUUAAUUGAUAGAGUCCAGAGAAACAUUUUGGCCGACAAACCUCGUGUCACCAAAUUCCCAAUCAAUUUCCAUCCCGAACCCAGUGACACUGCAAGGCCGCCACAGCAGAACCCCGCCGCUUCACCUGAAAUUCGACCCAGCGACGAUACUCAUAAUGAUCAGAAUAUCUGAUGGUGUGGCAAGAAAAGAGUUUUUUAUUUGCUUACAAUUUUGCAUAGUUUGUAGAAUUAGGAGUUUCAGAAUGGCUUGGUAGGUGGCUGGAUCGAUGUGAAAAGAAAGUUAUGCUUUACAUGAAUGUUGGUCCACUUUGGUUGGCCAAAUGUUGUCUCGUGGGUCGACAGGAUCAAAUUAAUUUCCUUUUGAUUUGGAUCUUUUAGCUCUUCUGUUUCCCUAAGUGGUAGGAAGUAUGUGAGAAAGGUUGUAAUGAAUGGUGAGGUGGCUGUAUACUUUAAUUUUAAGAAUAUGCAAUUUGAAAUGGCUUUUUCCAAUAUUUUUCUGCUUGAAAGAGGUUUCUGUGAGAUCCGUUCUAGUAACGGACGAGAGGGAUGAUGCUUCACAUUAUUGCGUGAUGAAAUGUGCAAGUUUAAUUUGAUCUGCUGGUUUGCUGCAAGGCAAUUUUGAUGAAAGGUUAACAGUUCUACUUGUUUUGGCUGGGCAAACUACUCAUCCCAUGGCUUCUGAAGAUUACACUUUAUUGAAGCUGAAACUGGCCCCUUUUCACUUAGUAAUAUGGUCUAUUUAAUUUCUUUUCUUUUUUUUUUUUUAAUGAAAUUAGCAAUGCUAUUGUCAGAUGUUGGUGAUGAAGUCAUCAGAUUUUUUAUAAAUGUCUUGAAUAUAUUAAGCCUUUUUAUUUAUUUUUUUUUAUGAACCUUUCAUCACCCGCAGGCAAGUUUUAUUAUGUAAAUAAUUGCAUAGAAAGAUAAUAUCACAGUGAAUUGUUAAACAAGAAGUUUCAAGAUUAUGAGCUCUCCCUUUCUCCACAAUAGGAAAAGUUUCAAAAUAAUUACUUGCAAUACUACACCACCAUGUUAGUACUAAUCAAACUAAAAGAAGCAUUCUAAUCAACUAAAGCAUCAAGCAGGCCUAGCAUCAUGUCAUGGACUAAGUGAUUUUGCUUGCAAAGUCCAUGCGGCACCCGCCUUCUUCAGCAAAGAUGGGUAAGGCUUGCUCUCUGUUUGUUAGUCUGGGUCAAAACGCUUUAUGCCUAAGUGCAAAAGAGGGAAAAGAGAGAUGGAGAUUAUGUGGAAAAACAAAAUACUUCUAUUACUUAGAAAAUAAAACUUAUAAGUACAUCUCUCUAUGUAUUUGGCCUCAGUUAUUCCAUCUAUGUAUAAGCCUAUGGUACAUAAAUAUACUAACUAACCAGCCUAGAAAAAUAGUAUAGAGAAUCCUUUGAGUUGCCCGUGACCCUUGGGCAUCUACUAGCAGUUUGGAGGUUUUAAUUCCUACAGUUGCAUGGUGCUUCAUCUCCCAUAAAAGUUGCUAGAAUGGCGCCCUUCCGGCUGCCCAUUUCAGUUUUGCAAAGUUGGCCAGGGACUUGGGCCAAUUUUUUUAAGUCUCUUGACACUCUCCCCUACCUAAUGCGCAGGUAUCCUUGUCUCGCGUUGCUAUUGGAACUUGUGGAUGAGUGAUUGGUACUAUCAAAGUAUAUUAGCCUUCCUCCAACUAGCCUCGCCAUAGGAGAGAUUUUUCUACUUCACCAAGUGAGUUAGGGCUUGGCAGAACUCUGCGUCGCCGAAUGAGUCAAGUGUCUAGGAUGGACUCUGCUUCUUUGUCAAAAAAAGCAGUCAUGGUCAUUGGAGUACCACUGUAAUGUACUAGAUUAUAAUAUAAAAAUUAAGUGUAAAUAAAAAUAGUGUGAGAUACUAUUUUUAUUGGACUUAAGGAAAUAAAAUGUAAGUCUGGAAUGACUUGUACUGAAAUCGGAAUAAAAACAGGAGAUUUAGAAUUUUUUGUGAGAAACGGGACUGGUAUUUUUAGCUGAAAAUGCACAGUGUCAGAAAAUUAUGAAAAUAUGAAAAUAUGUCGGGAUUAUUUUUGUAAGGCUAGAUUUAAAGUUUCAUAUCAUUCUGACACCCGAAAAGUGAAAAAUAAAAUCCGACUGCUAUUUGCUAGAGAUUACAGUUCGGUAGAACUUUCGGUGACCAAAAAUGGUCGAAACUGGAAAGUUAAGAUAUUUUCUUGUUUAUUAAGAGAAACCAAGCCUGACUGUCAAAUUUGAACGAAAACGGACAUUCAGAAGGGCUGGCGAAAAGUAUUUGAUCCUGAGCUGUUAAAAUGCUAGUGUGAAUAGUGUUUUGAGGGUGUCUAUAGAGAUAAUAAUUCUUGGGUUCCCUCCGGAGCCUCCCCGCGUUUGGCGGGGGGCUUCGACGGGACCCCCUCUUUUUUUUUCGGCUUUCUCUCUCCCUCUCUCUCUCUACCCCCCUCCCCGGCUCCCACUCUCUCUCUCUCUCCCCCCUCUCAUNNNNNNNNNNNNNNNNNNNNNNNNNNNNNNNNNNNNNNNNNNNNNNNNNNNNNNNNNNNNNNNNNNNNNNNNNNNNNNNNNNNNNNNNNNNNNNNNNNNNCAUCAGGGUGUGGAAAGUCAACCCAUAUUAGGAGAUAAUGGUUCAAACUUUUUUUUUUUUUCUCUCAGGGACAAUUUUUUGAUCGUUUUUAACCUUGUCUUCAAUUCCAUGCAUGGUAUUUAUCUUCCUAGUUAUUGCAGUUGUUCGGCUGAAUUUACGUGAGCAUUUGUUUUUGGAAGUUGUGUUACUCCUUAGAUCUCUCUACAAUUACUCGGAUUUUAAUUUUAUCUCUUGAAAAUUAGUGUCUACUGUAGCAGUUUAUUUUACGCUAGAAAGUUUGUUGAUGGUGUGAAUUUUCUUUGGCAUCUAUAUGUUUUGGUGGGUAUAAAUUGACCCCUCAACUUCUCUGUGCGUAGAGGGUAGCAAUCAGUAUGCUAGCCUCUGUUGAUCGGGUUAAAUGAGUUUCUGAACUUCCAGUCAACUUCAAUUAGGUCCUUGGACCUUCGGUUCAACAUUGGGAACUCUUUUUGGUGGUCUUGCCUUUAGUUUUGAUUAGAGUGAAUAUUGUUGGCUGCUGGCUGCAGCUGAUGCAUUUGACAUACAUGUGUUUGUUUGGGUGAAAAUGAGGGGGAAGUGGAGAAGGGGGAAGUUGUUUACGCCGUAAACUAUCACUUCCGUUGUUUGUUUUGCCGUAAUUUUAUUACGGCUGAAAGUCGAGUUCACCCUUCCACGGGGCGAAGUCAAUUCCGGUGAAGUGCAAAGAAGCAAAGGAGCUUGUUAAAUUUGGUUAGGUAAGGUGAUCAAAUUUAGUUAGGCAAGUUUUAAUAUAUUUUUUGUCUAAUUUGUAUAUUUAGAAAAUGAUGAAAAAUGAAUUUGUUAAAUGUUAAUAAUUUUUUAACUUUAGAAUUUUAUUUGUUGCAUUAUUAUAAUUUAUAUGCAAACAAAUAAUAUAAUUUUUUUAAAAUUUUAUUUUAUAAUUAUACAUAUAUAUAAUUAUAUUAAUUUUUAUUUAUUAUAAUUUAUUAUUCACUAAGUUACAAAAUAGAUAAUAAUAUCACUUCGGAGGUAAGUAUACCGGUGAUGGAGAGCUACAUUUUUUACUUCCUACCAAACAAAGAACAGAACUGUACUUUCAUAGUUAGAAACAAACAGCGGAAGUGAAUUAAUUUUCGCCUAAACUUCAUUUCAACCCAAAGUCCACUUUCAUCCCAAGUCUCUUACGUUGGAACAAACAUGU